rnacentral:lncRNA from 1 species
GGAUAUUUUUCUAUGAAUUUAAGUUUAAUUUGAUAUUUUUUUGUUGUUUUCUUGAUUUUUUUUUUUCAUGUUUUUUGAUGUUUCCAUGUUUAGGGUUUAAGUUACAUGAUGCAUCUUAUUACUUCCAAUCCAAAUAAUACAAAUCAUAAAAUGAACAAUAUAAAAUAUCUUCAAAUCAAGAUACAUUCAAUUACAUACUUUUAAAGCACUCUCGGAUAUCUAAAAUUGGGAUGAGUGGCGAUGCUCUCGUAGAUAUCCGGAUUAUAAUAAGUAUAGUCAGAAGGAGGCAGAUCAACCCACCCCUCUACCUAAGCGGCGUUGUAGUCUUGUCUGCUCAUCCAAGAAGAAAUGUGUGCCGGGUUAUAAGAACUCUCGCUCAAGCUUUGGCUUUAGGAGGUGUCUUUUGACUAUGGAGGGGCUCAUCCGAAUAUGGCGGCAGCAAAAUUCGACCCGUGAGAUGCUACAGGCUGCGUAGGAUGGUAUCCAUCGGAAGAUGCCUUCGAUGCACCGUAUCCAUAUCGGUAUCAAUAUAGGUCAUGGGCUGCCUGAGGCUGCGGAUAAUAGGAUCCAGUAUAUGACUCGAAAUCUGAUACGUUUAUGGAUCCUACUUUCAUGUGAGGUCAUCUGCAGCAAUAUCCUGUCUUCCUGAACGACCUCGAGGAGCCCAUCUCCUAUAUGUAAUAGUAUCCUCGUGGGCUCUAUAAGAUGGUCGACCGUGGUCCGUAUCCUGUGUAUCGAAGGCAAGCCUCCGGCUGUGUCUCAUAAACAGUACCAUACUGUCUUGCACUCCCUCCAUGGCUAGCAGAUUCAUUACCACCAGAACCUUCAUCGCUGCUGCUGUAGGUCUCCUCGACAUUACAUUGGGGGCCUUUAUUUUUCUUUUUUGGUUUGGUGGGCAACUGCCUUCUUACCCUUCAAGUUUUUUUCUGUCUGGCUAUGUCGCCCUCUUGACCGAGUCGACUGGGUAUCGUAGUGUUCUUGUCUGAGCAUUUCUCGAUCAUCUCUCUGAGAGGGUGUUUCGUACUAGUCAUGUGGUGACUGGCUCUCCUAUGGUUGCGGUUGAUCAGCUGUAGAAGUGCAUGGAAUAUUGCGCCCAACCCAUUGCUCUGAAUUGACCCUAGCCUCAUUGGUUAUAAAGCCGGCCGGUCAUGUAGGCGAUCUUGGCUUGUCAAGCUUCGGCUCUUGCUGCUGGCGCACAAGCCAGCCGACCAUAGAAUCAUCAUCAUCAUCGUCGAAAGCCCUAAUAUCGGAUCAGCAUACUUGAGCUCCACUUCCUUCUGAAUGCACUUUAGCUUCAACUGCAGAUUGUAGUGCACAUAUACAAGGUUGUUGAGGCGCUUCUGUGUCAAACAGUUCAUCUGCUUGUUGUGGAUGAGGGCGAAGGUGAACCAGUUGCGCUCAGCCACUCGAGGAGACCGUCUGGAAGAGAAUCCGGAUAGCUAUCCACUUAAGAUUUUUCGCGGACACUCCAAAAUGAAUCUGCCAUUCGGCUGCAGAAAUAUUGAAGAAAAAUAGAUAUUAGUACCAUAUUAGUAAUCCUCUAACGCCAGAUGAAUGUCCUCCUAAUGCGUAAUGUAAUUAGGNNNNNNNNNNNNNNNNNNNNNNNNNNNNNNNNNNNNNNNNNNNNNNNNNNNNNNNNNNNNNNNNNNNNNNNNNNNNNNNNNNNNNNNNNNNNNNNNNNNNNNNNNNNNNNNNNNNNNNNNNNNNNNNNNNNNNNNNNNNNNNNNNNNNNNNNNNNNNNNNNNNNNNNNNNNNNNNNNNNNNNNNNNNNNNNNNNNNNNNNNNNNNNNNNNNNNNNNNNNNNNNNNNNNNNNNNNNNNNNNNNNNNNNNNNNNNNNNNNNNNNNNNNNNNNNNNNNNNNNNNNNNNNNNNNNNNNNNNNNNNNNNNNNNNNNNNNNNNNNNNNNNNNNNNNNNNNNNNNNNNNNNNNNNNNNNNNNNNNNNNNNNNNNNNNNNNNNNNNNNNNNNNNNNNNNNNNNNNNNNNNNNNNNNNNNNNNNNNNNNNNNNNNNNNNNNNNNNNNNNNNNNNNNNNNNNNNNNNNNNNNNNNNNNNNNNNNNNNNNNNNNNNNNNNNNNNNNNNNNNNNNNNNNNNNNNNNNNNNNNNNNNNNNNNNNNNNNNNNNNNNNNNNNNNNNNNNNNNNNNNNNNNNNNNNNNNNNNNNNNNNNNNNNNNNNNNNNNNNNNNNNNNNNNNNNNNNNNNNNNNNNNNNNNNNNNNNNNNNNNNNNNNNNNNNNNNNNNNNNNNNNNNNNNNNNNNNNNNNNNNNNNNNNNNNNNNNNNNNNNNNNNNNNNNNNNNNNNNNNNNNNNNNNNNNNNNNNNNNNNNNNNNNNNNNNNNNNNNNNNNNNNNNNNNNNNNNNNNNNNNNNNNNNNNNNNNNNNNNNNNNNNNNNNNNNNNNNNNNNNNNNNNNNNNNNNNNNNNNNNNNNNNNNNNNNNNNNNNNNNNNNNNNNNNNNNNNNNNNNNNNNNNNNNNNNNNNNNNNNNNNNNNNNNNNNNNNNNNNNNNNNNNNNNNNNNNNNNNNNNNNNNNNNNNNNNNNNNNNNNNNNNNNNNNNNNNNNNNNNNNNNNNNNNNNNNNNNNNNNNNNNNNNNNNNNNNNNNNNNNNNNNNNNNNNNNNNNNNNNNNNNNNNNNNNNNNNNNNNNNNNNNNNNNNNNNNNNNNNNNNNNNNNNNNNNNNNNNNNNNNNNNNNNNNNNNNNNNNNNNNNNNNNNNNNNNNNNNNNNNNNNNNNNNNNNNNNNNNNNNNNNNNNNNNNNNNNNNNNNNNNNNNNNNNNNNNNNNNNNNNNNNNNNNNNNNNNNNNNNNNNNNNNNNNNNNNNNNNNNNNNNNNNNNNNNNNNNNNNNNNNNNNNNNNNNNNNNNNNNNNNNNNNNNNNNNNNNNNNNNNNNNNNNNNNNNNNNNNNNNNNNNNNNNNNNNNNNNNNNNNNNNNNNNNNNNNNNNNNNNNNNNNNNNNNNNNNNNNNNNNNNNNNNNNNNNNNNNNNNNNNNNNNNNNNNNNNNNNNNNNNNNNNNNNNNNNNNNNNNNNNNNNNNNNNNNNNNNNNNNNNNNNNNNNNNNNNNNNNNNNNNNNNNNNNNNNNNNNNNNNNNNNNNNNNNNNNNNNNNNNNNNNNNNNNNNNUUAAUAUUUAUUUUAUCACAACACCAACUUGGUUAAUUAAAUUGUUUUUAUCAAACUCGCAAAUUUUAAGUAUUGUACUUGAGUUACACUUACAUCAUUGUUCUGUCAAUAUUGUAUGAAUAUUUUGGAAAAGGUGUACAAAUCAUUACAAUAAAUUGUUUUUAUCAAACUCGCAAAUUUUAAGUAUUGUACUUGAGUUACACUUGCAUCAUUGUUCUGUCAAUUUUGUAUGAAUAUUUUGGAAAAGGUGUACAAAUCAUUACUAUAAAUAGGUAUGGCAGGACUUGACAAUAUAACCUUGGUCCCCAUUGUAAAAUCGUAGCUCCUCUCCUGUUGAGCGCAUGUAUCUUAGAGAAUUGCAAGUGGGAGGAUGGACAAAGUGGAGAGGUGCUUCCAGACUGUUGGUGACCGACGCAUAUCUUUCAACUUAAUGAAAAAGUUAUAAGUAGAUAGUAAUUCCUGCAGUAUUGAAUUGUUAGGCUAAAGCGAGUCUAAGAAUGUGAGAAAACUAAGGAGUAAGGACAUUGACAUAGUAUAUGGUCAAACUAGGAAAGGUAGAGGAAUAAGCAUGGGUUUCCAUUUCACGCCGAACAGCCCGAUUUGGGGCAUACCAAGCCAUACUGAUGGUAGACUAGCACAAUUCCGCCUCGUGAUGUGAGAAACAGGUGAGGGAGGGGGGGGGGAAGGAGAUAGAGGAAAAGAGAGAGAGGAAGGGAGAGGGAGAGGAAGGGAGGGAGGGAGAGAUAUGGAGGGGCAGGGCUGAAAGAGGCUGGUGGAGAGCUGGAGGAAGGGCUCCGCCCUCGGUUCUCCUGUUUUAAACGAAACAGGGGCCUUAUAGGUUCCCUUUUUUAUUUUCACAUGUUUAAGUGAAGUUGUCAAGGGGAAGCCCUUCCUCCGGCCUUCUUUGGUCCUCCUCCGACCCAUCCCCUCUCCCUUUCUCUCUCUUUUCCUCUCUCUCUCUCCUCCCAUUCUCCUCCCUCUUUCCUCCUUUGUUGACUUUGCUAUGUCGGUAUGGGCUCGGCAUAAAACGACAUGGUAUCAUGCCAAACCAUGCCGCCGGCAACCGGUAUGGGUCUUGGUACCAGCACAACAUACCUUGGGAAUGAGUAUGUAGGAGUUUACCAAUUAAAUGGCAAAAUGAUAUGGAACUGAUGGAUGUUAUAAGCAUCUCAAAAAAAGAUCUAAGGAAGCUCCAAUAAGAAGAGGUACACUAAAUUUUGUCCAAGGUUUGUUGAAGAUGAGGGCAACCGGCAAGAUGUAAGGUAACAUAUGUGGAAGUUGUGAGAAGAACUUGGCAAAGCUUGUAAUACAUUGGAGGUAAUGUAGGAAUGGUUGGUUAAGAUUUAGAGUGUUGAACCCAAUUAACUUAGACUAGGCUUGAUUGCUAUGGUUAUGGAUAUGUUCUUGAAAAUUCAACAGCAUAUAUAUAUAUAUAUGUUCUUGAGAUGUCGAACAUGAUGACUAUAAGUGUUGAUUUGGAAUUUAUUAUAGUGCUGCACAUGCAAUGCAUGCAACUCGCCUGUUCUUGGGGAAACAUGGACAAGUAGGCACAUUUCGUGAAUGGUUUUGGGAGGAGUUGGUGUUACAUAGUAGAAUAGAUAAGAUCCACGUGUUUUGCAUCAAAUGGAUUUGGAUCAAUUCACACCACUAGGAUUGUGGCUCAUCGUUCUACUAAUGUCUAUGCAUGUAAGUAUUCUUUUUUUUUUUCAAAGGAAACAUGAAUGUGAGUAUUCUGUCUACAUAUUUAAGUACAUUUUGUUUUAGUCGCAAAAUUAAUUUGGUACUCAUCAUACUCAUAUAUGCAAGUUAUAUGUAUCAUAAAGUUUCAACUGUAAUUUCUGCUGUUAAUGACAAACUUCAAAAUUUAUAUAUUAAUUGAUUCUUAUUCCAUCUUCUCCCCCUUUCCAACCUAAUGUUGGCUAAUCUACCUAGCGGCCUUGCAUAAUCUGUGGGUCCUAACCAACCUACACAUUUCUGUGGGGCCUAUCUUGGCAACGUGAAAGAAAAAGUGUUUCUUAAGUUUUUACUAAGAAUGGAGAAGGGGGCAAAGCUACAAAGCUAAUCCAUCAUCAAUGAUGGUUCAUGUUAAGAUAACAGCCUGGCAAUAGAAAAACUUUGAAGUUGUCAUUUUGAUGUUAAGGUGUUAAAUCAUGUCAAAAUCCAGUCCUUUAUCUUGUAAGUUUGCUAAAACAUAAUAAUCAAUUAAAUAUUACUACCUUAAACAUGCAUUUCAUUUAUUUAAUAUUAUAUUCAUUCUGUAUGCAGAAAAAGGUCUUCAGAGCUUGUUGAACAACUUAGAGGUAUAGUUGAUAGCAUGAAUCAUACCCAUGUUGGUUGAUAUCUUGAGAGUUGCAUGACAAAUUGUCUAGCUUAAUUUCUCAGGUACCUGUAGCAGCAGUUGUUAUAAUGGCCUGUAAUCGCCCAGACUAUUUGCAAAGGACAAUUCAAUCUGUUUUAAAGUAUGGGUUAUGCUUUGCAAAUUCUCUUUUCUUUUCUUCUAAUGAGUAUGAAUCCUCUUUUUUACAAGUUAAUCAUAUGAUUUCUUAUCUGACACAAUAUAAUCAAAAAUAUUUUUAUUCUAGAUAUCAGACUUCAGUUGCUUCCAAAUUUCCACUAUUUGUAUCCCAGGUACUAUGUAUGAUGUAACAUAUUUCCUUCUUACUCAUGAGUUAAGAGUUGGAGAGGUCAUUUGUUGUGACACUACUGAUUUUGCAGGACGGAACAAAUCGAGAUGUUAAAAACAUGGCUUUGAGCUUUAAACAGUUAACAUAUUUGCAGGUUUGAUAUGCCAACUCUUUUUGAUUGUGGUGGCUAUUGUAAAUACAUUACAGUUUGCAGUUAUUUUAUUGGAUAUCAUAUUUUUGGGGCAAGUUGGGCAUUUGUUAAUGUGACUUUACCCAUUUAUUACUAAUGACAUGUCAUAUUCUUAUUGAUUAAAUAACCAUUAGUUAAGUAUGGUAUUUUAAUCAUAAAUUAUCUUUCUAAUUUUCUCUCUGAAAUUUCUUGAACUCUCCAUCUCAUUACUAACCACCCCUCCAUUCCGGCAUAUAUUGCACUCAUUCCAUUUUUGUCUUGAUGAGUGGUUAAGACUUAAGAGUCAUUUUUGUGAAGCAUAAAUGAUUGAUAUGAAGUUGUUAAUAUUAGGAAAUAAUAAUGCAAGUAAUGUAUAGCAGGAAAUACAAGCUGUCAUAGAAAACUUAUCGUAACUUCCAAUAGAAUGUUGACAUUCAAUUGAAGAUAAGGGCGCUGCUCUUAACAAAUGCACCUAGGGCAUUGUUAACAGGACCCUAUAACCAAAACAUAACUAACAAACCGUACCACAACUAUGUGGUGUCAAAUUUUUGAUUCCUUUGACAAUUGUUCUUGUAUAUAUAUGCUUGUCAUUGCUAUCUACCUCUAUAGCCUUUCUCACUAACAUUCAUCAAUGUUAACUUUAGGUAUUUUCCAACUUCAAUCUAUGCCUCAAUGCUUAUAUCAAUAUCUCAGUCUUUGUUGUAAAUGUCACAUCCAUCUCAAGACACAUGCUAUAUGUCGUGGCUAUGUUGUUACUGGCCUGAAGUGAUGUGUCAACUAGGACAAACUGACACAGGCAUAUACUUGAAAGUUGAAACGUUGCUCACAUUAUUUUAUUAGAUGGUCCAACUUGAUCUCAACCUUUCACAUUGUUCUUCACUUUCCUUCAAUUGCUUGAACAAGAAUAUAGGCUUUGCAUUUUAUACCCAGCCUACUACGAUAUAGUAUUACUUGUAUAAAAUUUUUGUCCUUAGUCUUUGUUCGAUUGAAUCUCCAGUAAUUUCAUCUCAUGGAUCAUAAGGUUUACUCUUCAUAUUUGGUCCAUUUUGUUUUAUGUUACCUUAUUUUCUUAUAAAUGAUAAUUAUUCUUCUUUGUUCAAUUGGCACAUUUAACAACUACUACCACAUUUGCUACUUAGUGGGGAAUUUCCUUCAUAGUGCAGAAUAAAAAAAUUAGGAAGGAUCUUAGUAUCCACGAAAGCACUAAUGCUAGACUGCAUUUGAAACCUCCUAAAAUACUCCAGAAAUUGCAUCCUUCAAAACAAUUUCGACUCACAGAAUGCCAUGGAAAUAAGAUAGAUUAGACCAAGAUACGCCGAACCAACCCAAACCGCUCGGUUUGGGCCGUACUGAACCAAACCAGUGCGGAACCGGAUCGGCUUGGCCCUAAAUUUUGCGACCUCCUGAACUACUGUGAAUUGCUCCGAACCAGCUUGAACCAGACUGUUCGGAGCGAAACCGAUGCGAACCACUCGGUUCGGGCCCCCUCCCUCCUAUUUCAAUUACAGAAGGGCCUGAGCCUUCUUAGGCCAUUCCUCUUUCUUAUUCUCAGAAUCCUCCUCCCCCAUUCGCGAAAAACAAGGUGAUUUCGACAAUGAAAUGAGAAUCCAAUCGAAAACAAGGUACGUUGGCUCUCUCCUACCUUAUUUUCUUUUUUUUUUGAACAUCAAAAAAUACCAAAAAAAUACAAAAUAAGGAAAGAUUAUGCCAAAAUUUUUGAUUUUGGCUUGAUUUCAUAAUAUGUUGUAGAUCUAUGGAUAAUCUACACAAUGUGGCUAAAAUCUUUAAUUUUCGUUACAUCUAUAAUUUUUAAAUUAAAAAAUAUAGUAUCAGAUAAAAAAUAAAAUAAAAUCCAAAAAAUAACUGUAAAAUUAUAUGGUUAUUUUGGGGCUUGCAAGCUACUCUUAACCUAUACUUGGUGUCCAUUUAUUCAAGUUUUGAUAUGAUCAUGCGCAUAUUGGCCUCAGCUCAAAUUUGAAAAAAAUUAAGAAAUAAGUUGCUUUGAUGCAUGUCCAUGGGCUUAAAAAAAAUAUAUGUAACAUCUAUGGUAGGGUUCUACAUGGAUAUGAGCUCAAAUUAAUUUUUUAAAUAUUAUAUUUAAAAAUUACUUUUUAGCUUAAAAUAAUUAAAAAUACAUAAUUAAUAAAAGUAAAAAAUUAGGACUACGUAUUGCAUAAUUUAGAAGUAUGUUCUGAAGUAGAAAACAUGUUUUCUGAAUUUAUUAUAUUUAAAUAUAUUUUAAAUUUGAAAAUUAUUAAAAAUAUGUAAAUAACAUAAAAAAUAUGAAAAAUUAGUACUAUGUAUUAGAUAAGUCAAAAGUAUUUUCUAAAGUAGAAAACAUAUUUUUUAAUAGAACAAAAUUUUAUUAUUUUUAAAUAAUUAAUAAACUGACAUGCUUGAUAAAUUUUUAGGAGUGGAUCCAUCCAAAAAAAAUGAUCAAGAGCAUGAUAUUUGUUGGGAUCAUGGGCAUAUGCUCUUGAGUCAGCAAUAUUGGAGGUGCAACUUGUGCAAUACAGAGUUGAAAGGAGGGGUAACCAAGUUGAAGCAGCAUUUGGCUGAUGGUUAUCCCGACAUCUAUGUGCAGAAAAUGUCCAUAAGAGGUCCAACAAUUGAUAAAAAUGUACUUCGCUGAUUUCAGAACAGCGAAGAAAAGGGUUGUCAACAAGGUGGAGGUGGACCACUGAGCGAUGGAGCUAUCUUUCUGUCACGUCAAGAAGUCAUAGGAGGCAUCUACUUCAGAUGACGAGAUCUAGGCUGCUAUUCAAGAGAGCCUAGAUGAUCGGUGGCAGCAAGAUGAGAUAGCCAGGUAUAGGGCUCCAUUUGAGCUCUCACAAUGAAUUGGACUAUGGUUCUGUGACUAGUAGGGCAUAUCCAUAGUUCAGGAGGACCUUAGUUAGGAAGGUCGUUAAUCAUUGUCUGCUAUGCCGGUAUCAGGCUGUAGAUCUAUUUUUCGGCAGCACAGUCCGUAUGACCCCGCACUGUGCUGUGUCGGCUCUGUACUGACAUAGUAGAGGCGGAGGAGAGGGGGAAUGAGAGAAGAAAAGAGAGUGGGGGAGGAAGAUGGAGAGGAAGAGAGGCUGACCAGGGCCGGCUGACGGAGGCGGAGGCCGGGGAGCUGCGGAGGCGGGGCUCCGCCUUGUUCGAAACAGGGGCUCGGAGGGGGCCCUUUUAUUUCUCAGAAAUUAAGUAAAGUCAGCACGUCCCGCCUCCGCGGCUCCCUAGCCUCUGCCUCUUCCGCGCGGAGGCUCCCCCGCCUCCGUCGGCUGGCACCGGCUGGCCCCGAUUGGCCUUCCUCCCUCUUUUCUUUCUCCGAUCUCUCUUUUCCUCUUUUUCCUUCUUUCCCUCCGUCACUGGUUUCGGUUUCAUUGAUGGAACUGUCCCGGCCCGCCGCCGUUACAGUUCGGGACAUCCUAAACUGGGCGGCUCAGGAUGGUUCUACCGACCAUGCCAUUAGUAGAGGUGGUAGCUAUAUUGCAUCUAUGUGGGGGCUUUUGGCAGCAGGAAUAAGUUCUCGAGAGAUUCCAUCAAGAGCCACCAUAUUCAUGAUUUAGAUCUGUAUGUCUUCUCUAGUAGGGAUUCAAAGUAGCAGAGAGUUGACACCAUGCUAAAGAAGGAUAAGAAAAAAAUAUGUGGUGAGCUAUUAGAUCCUAGUUUCACUUUAGCCACAUUCCUGCGAAUGCAGCAUGGAACAUGUACUAUAGGUUCUGGUGUAGAUCCUCCAGAUUUGAAGGAUAUCUAUGGUGAACUUUUUGACAAUAAAGAGGAGCUACAAAAGUAGAUUUCUCAUACCAGAGCAAGCGGCCCAUAUAUGGACUGACAGUGAUGUGUGUGUUAGAAAUUUAAACCCAAUUUAAUGGGUUUCUUCGACUUUUUGCUCUAUGGCAUCUUAUGUAAUUUUUUGGUUUCUUAGUAUACUUAAUGAUCUCUUUGUUUAAGUCCCACUUUAUAUUAAAAAAAAAGAAAAACCAGCCCAUGAGUUUUAUGGGAUGAGGGUGUCUUUUGAGUUCGUCUUUGAAAGAGAAGAAGAGGGUGGUGAGAGCUUGGUAGGAAAAAGGAAGAAGACUACAAGAAGAAAAGGCAUCUUCCUAGUUGCUGAUAUUCUGCAUAUUUGUAAGUUAUAUUUUCAGUUUUUCAUGGUUGAAAUGAAGGGUUUUGUGAAGUGGAUUUGAGCCUAUCUUGUGCCCCAUUGUUCAGCUCUAUUUUUCAUUGUUAUUUGAUGCUAUUUGCAUGUUAUUAGCAUCUAUUUUGCUCCAACAAAAUUGGUAUUAGAGCUUGGUGUGGUGAUUUGGUGGUUGUCUUGUGCUUUGCUUGCAUUUAGGGUUUGAAAUUGGGGCUUUUGGAAGAGUAUUGAGUUUAAGCUUGAUAUUGGUGUAAUCUUUAAUUAAAAUGGAGAGUAAUAUGCUCCCUAUUCAACUUCCUAAAUUAACUAAGGAGAACUAUGAUCGUUGGGACGGGGAGUAUUUAAAUCAAAGUUUUGUUGGAAUCUCAAGAUUUAUGAGAGAUAGUUGAAAAAGGGUUCAAAGAACCUAGCUCACCACAAGAAGAAGAGAGGCUCACAGAAGGUCAAAGAAAUAUUCUCAGAGUUAGGAGAGAGAUAAAAAAACUUUAUUUGCCAUCUACCAAGUCAUUGAUGAAGCUAAUUUUGAGAAAAUUUCUAAUGCCAAAACUUCAAAAGAAUCAUGGGUAUUGGACAGAUGUUAGUAUGUCGGAUUCUUAAAGACAAGCACGGUACCUUGUGUUGCACUAGUGAAGGGCAUGCAUGGGAUGUGCACCCUAUUUUGUCAAUCCUUGGUGCAAAUUUGCAUACGAAAAAACAUGCUAUAGUUAAACCUUUGGUAAAAGAUUUAAUGGUUCAAAAUUAAAAAUAAAUGAAGGGCCAUCCAAAAUAGAGAUUUGAACUAUUGAUCAUGAUUCGAUUAGGGAGAAGGAAGAAUUUCCUCAACCCAUUUAACACGAUUCUCUCAAAAGGAUUUAGGAGAACUAGAAAAUUUGGUGAAAGUAGGGUCUAGGACCUCUUUUCUUUCAUCGGGUCAUAGUGAGGUAAAGAUGCGUCCACAGGAGAGGAAAGAGCAAUGCAUCUUGCUCGAAAGGAGUAGCUUAAGGAAAGUGACCUAAGAGAGGAUGCCAAACCAACCAGGGUCUAUUGAGCACAGAUAGCAUAUAUUUAUACUAGUAAUAUCUAUGCACAAUCUAGACCGGAUUUCUCUUCUAGUUCAAACAGGACUCAACUUUCCCAAAAUAGAUGACUAGUGGAAAUAAACAUGAAAAAGCUAAAAUCCUUUAGGAGCCAUAUUUUGAUUUCUACACCUACUUUGCAUUUAGUUGCUCCACCUAAUUCUUCCUAGAUUGGGAGAAGUCCGAUCAAAGUCUUUCCCGAAAAAAAAUUCGGUUUAACCAAACCUAAUUCGGAGUCCAAAUGAUGGAAUUUGUCCUUGACCCUUGGUACGCCACACCCUCUGAGGGAGGCAUCACAUCAUAGAACUUGAAAAGUUAUCUAAUUUUAAAAAAAAGGUCAUCUCAAUUGGGUGUCAUGUGUCAAGAUAUGACCUCUACAAGUUUAGUGCACAAUUUUGCUUUCCAAUAGGGUAGAUUUCGUUCCUGGAUCUUGUCCAAUCCCACUUCUAGUGGCCAAAGUGGUCCACAUCAAGUUUAGUGAUCCUUUUGGAUCAAUGCUAUCCUUGUUUAGGUGAUUUAGCUCUUGCUAAAUUACAGCUGAAGAUGGAGAAAUGUCUACUUCCUCGUCUUCUAAACCAUUUAGUUUUUCUUGGAAGCUGACUCUUUCGACCGAUCCAAAAUGACUCAAUACUUCUGCAGCUAGUUCCUUUGACAUUCCUCUCGAUGACAGUCUAGCAACCUUUAUUGAUCUUGGUCUUCUUAGCUCUUGAUUCUUAACGAACUACUUGCCCUACUUCUGCAUUUGCACUCCGUAGUAGGGCCACUCCUUGCCAUCCUUGUUGAUGAUGGCGAUGGCACUUUUCCUUGAUCUCGAUCUUGGUUGUUCGAUCUGGAAAUCGAGGGGCAAGAGUUUGAACUCUCAAGAGUGGUAUCGGCUUCUCAUAUCAUUAUCACAAACUUGUAGACAUUCGCUUGGGCAACUGUUGCAAGGUCUAUAUUUUUUUGUAUUCUGAAAAGGUGUUGAUCAUAAACUUCUUCCCAUCCUUUACGAGUUGAUAAUUCCUUUGUCGCUUAUAGAAGAUAGCAUCUUGAUCUUAAAGGAAUGGGCUUCCAAGAAUGAUCUGACAUCCAAAGGAACUACUUUGUAGGUCAUCUCGUCAAUAUACCCUUUGUUAUUACAAAUUUAAAGGUAUAUUGCUUGGUGAUCUUCAACUCGAUAUCUUUCUUAAUCCAAUCGAGAGGAUAGGGACGUAGAUGAAGCUUGGUUUGCAAUCCCAACUUCUGAACCAGACUUUCAGGGAUGAGGUUCUUAUGGUUUCUAGGAUCUACAAUAGUACUGAUGAUACUCUGCUUCACCUAGAUCUUCAACCGAAAGACUUCCUCUCACAUCUCUAUGUCUGCUUCAGUUGCUGCCUUGGGUUUUCUUGCCAUCAGAUUUAAUUUUCAUUCUGCUUGCUCAAGCUCAGGAAGCUUCUCAACCUCUAUCACAUUAAGUACCGUCUUCCCUUUCUUCCGAGGACUCUUGUCCUUUGACUUCUUUAUCUUUGGUUGCAACUUAGGGUGGAGCUUCCAACACUUAUCCUUAAUAUGCUCACUGAUCCUAUAGUGGUUGAAAUAAAUUUUCCAAGUCGUUUUGACCUGUUUCUUACCUUGCUCCUAUUCCUGGCCUAGUUUUCUGCCACUUUUCUUGCCUUCUCUUGGUUAGUUCUUCUCCUCAAUUCUGUUGGCCUUCACACUAGUUUCGCUGAUGUCUUCAACUUUGCAGGGCAUCAACUCCUUUCGGAUGCUCUUGUGAAGAUCUCCAACAUACUUUGAAGCAAAGUCUGCCGUACCGCUCGAUACGGAGCGUACCGUACCAUAUCGAGAGAAAAUCAUUACAAAACACACCUUUAAGUCGGUAUUGAGGCGCGUACUGGCCUGUACUGAGGUGCGUACCGAUUCGUACUGAGGCGUAUCAAGAUAAAAAUUGAAAAAAAUGGUUAGAGAGCUAUUUCGGCACAGAGGUGUACUGUGUUGAACCGAUAAGGUAUCCAAUACCGAGAUUGCGGACCUUGCUUUGAAGAGCUUCAAGUCCUUCUGGAUGCUUUUGUGAAGAUCUCCAACAUACUUCUUGAAGACUGCAUGAUCAUUAAUGGAGAUCUCGAGUGAGAUAGCUUGCUCGUGGAACUCGAUGGUAUUGUCUUGGAUGGGUUGAUCUUAUUUCUGCCGUAGGUACUCCCACUUGACCCACUGAUCUUUCUCAUGGCUGAUUGGGUAGAAUUAUUUCUUGAUUAGGCCCUCGAAUUUGCUCCACAUCAGAUUAGAGAUGUCAUUGUUCUUUAUAUAUGAAUUCCACCAUGUUAGGGCAUGGUUGGAAAGCUUGAGGCAAACAAAGACUACCUUUUGGAUACUUGUGUAUCCAUAGAUAGUGAAGUUCAUCUCUAACUGGUGGAGGCAGUUAUCCAACCUCUCAGCAUCAACAAUCCUAUCGUAUAUAGGGAUGUCGAUUCGAGCUUCAACUUUGAAAGGCUAUAGAGGGGGAUUCUUAGUGCGUCUGUAGGUUCCUCAUCCUUUUUGCUGGAUGGUAGAUCUUCUCCAGACAUGGAAGAUAGCUUUGCCUUAGAAGUUAUUGGUGUUUUUCUUGAAUGUGUCACCAAUUGAGACAUGAUUUAGGUGAGUUGGGCAAUAUUCUCCUCUAGUUGUGUUGGACGUUCCUUCAUCUCAUCAUCUAUCGAGGUAGAACUAGUAGCUUACUCACCUUCAUCGUCCAAUGUACUUCAAGCAUCAAUGGUCCUUUCAUUUGCAUAUUGCUCGUAUAUCUGGAGUAUAAACUAAGGCUCCUAUAGAUGUAGAAAACUGAAUCUAUGAUACUAACUUGAUUCCUUCAGGGAGAAGGAAGAAUUUCAUCAAUUUAUCGAACUUGAAUCUCUAACUUGAUUUGAUUGGGGAAAAGGAAGAAUUUUCUUAACCUGAUCAACUCGAAUUUUUCAAAAUGAUUUAGAAAAAAGUAGAAAAUUUGGCAAAAGUAGAGUUUAGGUGUCCUUUUCUUUCAUUGAUAAAUAACAAACUAAGAUACAUAGUCUCUUUUAUACUAGUGAAGUUUGCCCUUACACAAUUUAGUUUGGAUUUUUUUUCUAGUUCAAAUAGGCUCCAACUUUGCCAAAAUAAAUAUGACUAGUAGAAAUAAACACGAAAAAACUAAAAUUCUAUAGGAGGUUCAUCUCGACUUUUACAUCGAUUUUGCCUUCAGCUGCUCUACCUAAUUCUUCCUGGAUUGGGAGAUACGCCCGACCAAAAUCUUUUUCGAAAAGGAUAAUUUUAGUUUGAUUGGUCUAUUUCAGGUUCCGAACAAUGGAAUUUCGGCCUGCUGCGCCGCACCCUCUGAAGGGGGGCGCCAUGUCUUAGAGCUCGAAAAGUUACAUAAUUGAAAAAAAGAUCAUCUCAAUCUGAUGUCGUAUAGCUAAGUUAUGACCUUUGAAAAUUUGUGCGCUAUGCAGCUUUCCGAUAUGGCGGAUCUUACUUUUGGAUCCGGUCUGGUCAUACUUAUAGUGACCAAAAUGGUCCACAUCAAAUGUGGUGAUCUUUUUGGAUUAGAUCAUGAUCUACAAAAACACGAGAACUUGAAAUCAUAUUUUUUGGACAAUCUCCUACCUUGUGCUAUCGUACAAUGUAUAUGAUAGAGCAUAGUAAUUACAGAUUACCCGGAAUAGGAAAUAGCAUGCUUUUGGUAUAAUUACAUGAAAAGUAACUUGAAAUAGUUUUUGGUUCAUAGGCUAGGGAUAAGGCUCAUGGACAGGGUUUAUAUACAUGACUCUUCCAAUUUGAUCAGUUUUCUGGACAAUUACCUUAAUAAGAAAUUGGUGUUGGGAGUUAUUUGGCUUUCUUAUUAUUAUUUAUAUUAUCCUUUUGAAGAAAUGCAUACUUAUGCAACUGAACCAUCAUAGACCAUUUGUGAUUUACUUAACUGACUGAAUAGUUUUCAAUGUAGCACUUGGAUUUUACACCUGUGCAUACGGAACGGCCUGGAGAACUAAUUGCGUACUACAAGAUUGCAAGUGUGUGUCAUUUCCUUCUCUCCUUUUUUGUUUCUUUUUGCCACUUCUUUGUUUUCUACACUAAGAUUUUUUCUCCUCCUAAGUAGGGCACUACAAGUGGGCCUUGGAUGAAUUAUUUAUCAAGCAUAAUUUCAGUCGAGUAAUCAUAUUAGAAGGUGCUUUUUCUUGGAAGUUCUUUGUAGAUCUCUAUUUCCACUCGCUUUCUUGUUAAUUUUUAUAGACAUUGAGUAAAGUAAAUGUAGCAAUUGCUAGACAGAUGACAUGGAGAUUGCCCCAGAUUUUUUUGAUUAUUUUGAGGCCACAGCUUCUAUACUCGAGAAUGACAAGUAUGUCCUACAUUUGUGUACUCAUUACAUUCUUGCAGGAAUCUUUGUUCUUAUCAAUCUUGUUGCACCACUACUUACCCAAUGUGCUAAUGCUGUAGGACAAUCAUGGCUGUUUCUUCUUGGAAUGACAAUGGACAAGUGCAAUUUGUGCAUGAUCCUAGUAUGAUCAACAAGCUAACUUCAUAUUUCUAGUUUUUUUUGCCAUUCUAAAAUCUAUUUCAGUCUAUGUUUUUCUGAGAUUGAAUAAUCAUAUAAUGUGUUGCAUACUAAAUUUUUUUUAUUGUGUUUUACAGAAACUCUUUAUCGCUCUGAUUUCUUUCCCGGGCUUGGGUGGAUGCUAUCAAAAUCUAUAUGGGAUGAGUUAUCACCAAAGUGGCCUAAAGCAUAUCCUUUUCUGCUUAACCAUUUCCUGAUUAUUGGUUUAAAUGUUGAUAUGUCUAUAUGUCUUUCCUCAUCUUUCUUCAUCUAUUUUUAAGAUUUUUCCUUUGACAUAUCACACUUAUUGGGAUGACUGGAUUAGGCUUAAGGAGAUACACAGAGAGCGCCAAUUUAUUCAUCCAGAAGUUUGUAGAACUUACAAUUUCGGUGAGCAUGUGCGUAUAUACUCAUUGUACUUUAUUUUAAGUAAUGCAAUUUUGCAUUCUCGAUUAAAUGACAACUUUUUUGUGUAUCUUCAUAUAUAAAGUUGCUUAAGUUCUAAAAUCCAAUUAAAUGAUAUAAUGUUUCCUCGACCCCUCCCAGGGUAAUGCUUUUAGGCAAUAGUCUUAUCCUGAAUAGGUUUCCUAUAUUCAGAUACUAAAUGUCUUGUGUAACUCAUUGAAAACCAGCCUGACUAACUAAAAGGUUACAUCAUUGGCCGACAUGAAAAGUAGCUCUAAAGGUUGAUCUGAAAAAUAACAAUAAGUUUAAAAGAAAGUAGCUUAAAUGUUCUUAUGCUGGUAAAACUUUGUGUGUUGAAUUUGUUGGCAAACUCAUUUCCUACAAUUUGACAGUAAUUGGCUGGAUUUUCCAUGAUCAAGCAAUCAAUAAUUGCUCUUCAUUUUCCAUGCAGAUAAAUAGGUUUCUCAUGCCAAAUCGGUGACCGUCAAACAGUGCAACUUAUUCUUUCCCCUAAAUGUAACAGAAGUUCAGUAUGAAUUGUUAAAUCAUAAUCUUGUCCUUUUGUGUUUGAUUUGAUAGAUUAAUCUGCAGUUUCAUCGUACAUUACAUAUAUGGAUGAGAAUCUUGACUUACAUCCAACAUAUUCCAUUUCCAUACACACCUGCAGUAGUGCUUGUGCUUGACAGUAGUCUAAUGGGAAUACAAUGAACCAAAGCUUACAGUUCUUAAACUGAAUAUUUCUUAAGAUGUUGCUAGCUCUGUUCCACCUUCUCAGCGUAACCGUAACAUUUUGAAUCAGUGAGACCAGUAGCAAAAAGUCCAAUAAAUAUUUAAAAGAUAUCCUUUUAAACAAUGCAUUAACAUUUCUUUGCCAUGUUCAAGCGCACUAUCUCAGAAUCUGGCUCUACAAUUAGUGCUGGUUACUAGAAAUCUAAAUUACUAAAUGACUGGGAAUUGGCUUGAUAAGAGUCUAGGCACAUAUUUUAUGUCCCUCCUCACAUCCAACAUUCUGUCAAGAUACAUGCCAUAAGCAGAUUGAAGACAUCAAUGGAAAUUUCAGAAAAAAUGAGACCCCCACCAACGUAUCUAGGCACUUAUCAAGGUCAUUUUCUUUAGUCAACUAUUUGUAGGUCAAUUCUCUUUGAGUGUUGGAGCAAAUUAUAUAUACAUGUGUUAAGACAUAGCAUUAUGUUUGUUUGUUGUGUUAAUAUUCAGUGUUCUAAAAGGCAGUUGUGGUAUGCAGCAAGGUUUAUGGUACCGAUCGGCAUCGUACCGUACCGAGCAUAUCGUACCGUACCAGACGGAAUUGGUAUGCAGUCUCGUAUUGUACUGACACUCGGCAUGCUUCACCUUCUUGUACUAUACCACGUACCAACACUGUAAUAGGAUGGUACCAUGGGGUCUGGUACCGAGAUGGUGAACUUUGGUAUGCAGGCUACAUAUGCAAGUGUAUAUAUGGUUAGCAAGGUUAGUCGUCUUGAUACCGGACCUCAUAUCAGUACCAUUCUAUUAUAGUAUUGGUUCAAAGUAUGAUGUGGUAAGAUUCAAUGUACAAUGUUUGUAUUGAAAAAAAUGUUGUGUACCUCGACCUUGGGCCAGACCUACCCCUUUUAUCUCAGACGUAAACCGAGGAGAACAACCUCAGCCCUAGCCGAACGGCCGACUAACCGAAGUGAGCUGCCUCGAUCCCGACUGAGGAGCCGAUCAACCAAGGAGCCAUCAACCGAAGAGAAAAAUCAAGAUGUGUAGAUCAGGACUGACAAUUCCAACAACCGACAGCUUUGGCAGCCCGUAGUUGUGGCAGGGCCAUGGCCUAUGCCUUACCAGCGCUGCUCGCUGCCCACGCGAACUGGCAUCCACGCCUCGCUCAUACUACCGGACGUUAUCUGGCCAUCUUGCACACCACGUCAGGCUAGGUAACGACAAAAUGAACUUUUCUAUAUAAAGUAGCAGCCCGGGGGACCUCAAGUAUGCGCAAAAUAUUACUCAUAGAGACCAUACUGUUGAAAUUUUUUUCUUAUAUGUUGCCUCGUUAUUCUGACUUAGGCAUCGGAAGGUUCCUCGCCGAAAAUUCUCCGGCAAGCGAACUUCUUGCAGGCCAUCUUCGGAGGAACCCAGCAGCCGAUGUGUCAACCGGCUUGCUCAGCCCGCCUCCAACCAAUCUUAAGGUUAUUCGAGCUGUACUCCCACCUCGGUCUGGAUUCGGCAGCAACAGAUUGGCGCUAGAGAAAGCACCAGCCCCAUCAACAUUGACAUCCAUCAAAGGAAGAGACAAUCAGCAGAAGUCACGAGGAGCCCGCGGUGUAUCACAUGCUUCGCAAUGCCGUGUUCCAACCUCUCGAGGGUCGCUGCAGACCUCGAAACUUGUUCUACCAGAAUAACCCUCUGUGUUUGUGGAUAACAAGCAGUUCAACCUACUCACUCAACAGGUGUCGUUGACCGCGGAGAUCUAGGGUCUGCAAUAGACAGUGGCAUGACUGGAUUUAAUCCGAUCGAAAUUCAUCCAGCCCAGCCACUACUCAGUCGCCUGCGUAAGGCAUGUGCCUGGUCAGCUAUCGCUCCUGAGGUCGGGGCUCAAAGCAGUCUCCUAGAGUUGGCGCACCUAGCAGAGCAGUUCUAGUCAGGAGGGGAAACAACACACUACAAGCCCCCUUUUUGGCGAGGACUCUGCUUCAAUCCUAUUGCCUCUUGGCCGUAUGGAGCCACCUCUCGGCAGGAUGCCGACCUUGAUCAGAGAAUUAAGAAAAUGGGCCUGUAGAUUCAGGUCCUCAGGGGACAGACUUCGAGGGCGAACAACGACCUCAACUUCUCCUUUGAACCCUUCUUUACCAGGCGGAUCAUGGAGGAACUGAUUCCACCUCGAUUUAAGAUGCUCUAGGUAGGCCGUAUGACGGGAUCUCGGAUCUCCUAAGCCACCUUGAGAGCUUCAAGGCUCUCGUGAUGCUGCAUAGAGCCACCGAUGUCGUGCUUUGCAAGGUGUUCCCCACAAUCCUUCGCAAGGCGGCUCGGUUCUGGUUCUUUGGGUUUCUACCUGAUUUCGUUCGCUCCUUCAAGUAGCUCAGCUGCCUAUUUGGGACCACUAUCUCCUGCUGAAGACGGCGCCGCAGCUCGGUUGCGUUGCUCGAUAUCAAGCAGAAGGAGAAAAUCUCUCUUAGGGACUAUGUUAGCUGCUUCAAUGCGGCGACCCUAGAGGUACGCGACCUAUAUCAGUCGGUCGUGAUAUCAGCAAUGAAGAGCGACUUACGACCAUUGCACUUUCCAUUCUUCUUGGAGAAGCGCUUUUUGGCGGACUUCUCUGAAAUGCUGGUGUGGGCGGACAAAUACGCCAACGCGGAGGAGGCCAUAGUCUUCCAUCGUGAAUCUGCUGGCGGAAGAGCCCCUUGAGGAGCCAGAAGGGGGUGCGAGGAGCGCUUCACCUCGAUGCGAGAGGAGCUUACGGAGACCUAGGAGUCCUCGGAGGUUUGAGAGGUUCAUCCUUCUCACCGCCUCGAGGGUCUAGAUCCUCAUGGAGAUCGAUGGCCGAGGUUAACUGCGCCCUUCACCUCAGAUGAAGGUUCGGAGACCCAAAGAGACUGGAAGAAGUAUUGUCGCUUCCACUAGGACCAUGACCACGACCAUGAAACCGAAGAGUUCGUCUAGCUCAAGGACGAAAUGGAGGCAAUCAUUCGGCACGGGCGACUAAACUGGUAUGUGCUCCCUCGACAGCACUGAGCAGCCGCCUUGGCCUCCAAUCCACCGCCCUCGGAGCCGAUCGACAACUAUCCGACCGUUAGAAUGAUCAACACGAUUGUUGGCGGUCCAGCCGAGGUUUUGUGCACCUUGGGUCACCGAGCUCCUAAGAGGUCGAGGUUGCCCUAAAGAGACAGUGCACGAGAGAGUCAUCACCUUCUCAGAUGCCGACCUGAGUGGAGUUCAGAUUUCUCAUGAGAUGCUAUAGUUAUUUUCUUACUAUCGCAAAAUACGAUGUAAAUAGAAUACUUAUUGAUAAUGAAAGCUCGGUAGACGUAUUAUUUUAUAAUGCUUUCCAAAGAUUGAGACUGCCUUCCGAACAGCUCCGAAAGGUUAACACUCCCCUUAUCGACUUCUCGGAAGACUCAAUUCCCGUAGGAGCGAUCAACCUGCUCAGCCUGCCUCCAGCCGAUCUCAGGGUCGUUCGAGCUGCAUUCCUACAUCUGUUCGGAUUCGGCAGCAAUAGGUAUGUACGGUACAACAUACUGGUACGGUAUAGUACAAAUUGGUAUGGCGAACUUUGAUUAAUAUUUUGUGAGUGCAUAAAAAAAUAAAAUACAUUAAGUACAAAAAACAAUAUUAGUACUUUUUUGGAUAAAUAAUAUCAUUACUAAUAAGAAUAACUAGCAAAAAUACUUAUUCUUAUAUUUAAUUCUAAUAACAAUAGUUAUAGCAUAAUUGAAACACAUAUCCAACCAUCAGCUUGAGCAUGCUCUAUUUCACAUGCUUAUAUAAGUAUGGCAGCAUAUUUAGCCUCAUAAUGCUAAGUGAACCAUAUAUGUAGUUACACACAGGACUAAUUGAGCCACCACACGUAUGGCUACUUCGUGCUAAGGGGACUUCCUUUCGAGCCAACAUGUGGUGUCACCAUGGUAUGCUGAAGCGGCCUGUACCGGCCGGUUCAGCAUGUACCGUAUCGGUUCGGGCCUUGACUGAUAUGGCGGAGCCGUGAAAACUGGUAUAGGGCCCGUAGAAGCCGAAUCUAGCUGGAGCCAGGAAGGAAGAAGAGAAGGAGAGAGCGAGCGGGGGAGGGGGGAGAAGGAGAGGCCUCCGCCGCCCGCGGAGGACCGCUGGGGGCCGGCGGAGUCCGUGGGGGGGUGGGGGAGCCCGCGGGGACGCGGCGGAGGUCGAGGCUGCAGCCGCGUGGCCGCGGUUUUUUAAUUUGAAAAUUUUUAAGCGAAGUCGGCAAGCGAUUUGUCGACUUUACUUAAAAAUUCUAAAUUUUUUUCCGUGGCCGCGUCCCCUGUUUCGAAUAGGGGACGCGGUCAUGGCCNNNNNNNNNNNNNNNNNNNNNNNNNNNNNNNNNNNNNNNNNNNNNNNNNNNNNNNNNNNNNNNNNNNNNNNNNNNNNCGGCAGAGGCCUCUCCGCCCUCCCUCCCCCGCUUGCUCUCUCUUUCUCUUCUUUCUCGGCUCUGGCUGGGCGCACCCGCUUCUGGGGGGAGAGCUGGCCGGUUCAGUACCGAUUUAAACUGGUCCGAACCAAAACCAUACCGGUUCGGUAGGUGACCGGUACGCCUAUCAUUUUUGGUACGGCAUACCUGGGGUGUAACCAUAUAUAGAAACUGCAUAUAGGCAAUGUGGUGUAGUCAAGAGAUUGCAUCUGUAUAUGCGGCCUCAUGUACUGCAUUUUGAAACACUACUAAUGUUGGAACAUGGGAGGCAUGAAAUAAAAAAGUGCCAGCCGUUAGUGGAUUAUUUGCCAUAUACUUGAAGCUGACACUCACCUUUGUCUCUUUUUGGGGUUUCAUAUAUGAAUCAAUGAACCUAAGAAAUAGCAUAUUUUGUGAUCAAUGAAAUUUACUCUUCUUCAUCUCCACUUUAUUUUCUCGAUAAUUUUUUUUAAUGCAUAGCUAAAGGAUUUGCAAAGAUUGUAACUGAUAUACUCAGUUUGCCAUCAAUGCAUAAAUGGAAUGGUUUUGAUUAAAUGAAGGUGUUUGAGUUGCAAGUUGAAGGUUAUUCAAAGGUUCUAAGAAUAUUUUUAUAUAAUUUAAGAAUAUUAUUUUAGAAUUAUAUAUUUUUAUAUAAUUCAAGAAUAUUAACAAUUUGUUGUAUCAUAUAUUUUAUAUCAUAAUAUUUAGUAUUCUAUUAGUGUUUGGAUUGCAUGUAACCUGCUCUGAUUUAGGAUAGACUUGAAAGUAAUCUAGUCUAAUCGAAUCAAAGUUAUUUGGAUUAGGCUUGGAUUGAAAAAUAUGACUUGCUUUAAAUAUGGCUUGGAUCGAGUCCUAAAUACUGCCCAAUCUGAAUUCAAAAGGCCAGAAUCAGCAUGAAAGUAAUGCCCUAUGUUUUGCACAAUCUUCCUUGAACUUAAGAAAUUAAUUUUCUUUAUUAAUAACUUUUAUGUAGUUGGUCACCAAUUUGUGUUGUUAAUUAUACUUUAUAUGUUUUUGUUAAUCAAGUUUUCUAUGAAAUGGGUUCUUGAUCAUGUCUACAUGUUUAAUUAUUAUUUACCUGCAUAAUGUGUCAAGGAUAUAUAAAAACCAAUUUAUAUGUUUCUCCUAUACCUUGUGUCUCUAUUAUUCUUGACCUGAUUUGAUGCAAAAACCUGACAACUUGAAUCAAUAAAUCUUAAAGCAAACCAAAUUUGUCACUGAUGAAAACGUAUUAGACUUAGAUUCUUAUUUUUGACCCAAUGCAAAUAUGGAUUGGAUUUGGAAUGUGCGAAACCUGAUUCAACCUAACCUGCUUGUAGCCUAAGUAAUUAGUAUGUAGUUACUUGAUUUCUACUUUCCUUAUUAUACUAUUUUAGUUAUAGAAUAUUUACUUUUACAUAGUUCAGUUCUAUAGAUUAUGGAGAAACUGAAACAAAGGGAGAAAGUAGGGAUCGAAAUGGGAUAGGUUGGGUUGAGCUUUCCUAUUGCUUAGGCCUAGACUAGAAGAAAUUUUUAGCUCUGGACUGGGCUGAGGCUUGAAAAUUUUUCUGUGUGUUUUGCUUGAACCAACCCUGAGUCUAAAAUCAAGCCUGGCUUGAAGCGCAAAUGAACUCGAACUAACCAAACCGAAUUGGUCUGAAAGGCUCAAUCCAACCAGAACUAGCUUGACAAUCUUCAAUUAUCCCCCAUCGCCCUCUCGUCUAUCCUCUCUCUCUCUCCCUCCUACGUCACCUUCCUCACCCACCAUCCCUUUCGUGGCUCCCUCAUCUUCUCCACCUUACAUUCCCAAAAAUCUGCCAUCCUCCACUCCCUCACUCCUCCAUUAUGCCUCCAAUGCUAACCCUAACCCUAACCCUGCCACCUCUAUUCCACAUGCAAUCCUAACCGUAACCUUGACAAUCCUCCUCUUCCACGAUCCCUAGUGACGUCCCCUCCAAUUACUUUACCCUUCACUACUCUGCAGCUGCCCUCCUCGUCACCUCGUAGCUCCUCAUUACUGAUCUCCUCACCUCCUAUGUGCUCCCUGCACCAAGAAGGGGGAGAGAAAGUAAUAUGAGAAAAAGAGAAGAGGAGAGAAGUUGUUCACCACAUUGCCCAUGCUUCACCAUCCUUCGCUUGGGAGAGCCGUUUGCCGCUCAGGAUUUAGAGGAGAGAAGAUAUGGAGUGAGGAGGGUUUAGAGCAUGAGAAAUGGAGAGAAGAGAUGAGGCAUGAGGUUGUGAGCAGUUUAGGAUGUGGGGCACUUAGGUGUAGGUGUGGGUGGGGUGAGGAAUCGAGGGUAUUGGGUUUCUUCAGUGGUCUGGGUCAAGCUUAGCUGCUAGCCACAUGAGGGUUUAAACAUCCAAAUUGCGCAAGCUCAUCAAUCCAAGCCUGGUUAGGUCAGGUGUCAUGCUUGGGCUUCAGCCUUGGAGUUGGGUUCGUGCUCUAGGCUUGGCCAAGCGGUGACUUGAACUGAGCUUGAAAUGUAAUUGAGUCCUUGUUUUCAUGUCCAAGCCCAACCUGAACAUUCUCAGGCUGUGCCGAAAACCCAACCUGAAGCCGGCCUAACCCAGUAGGCCUUGGGCUAACCUAGGUCCAUUUCCAGCUUUAGGAGAGAUUUUCCUAUGUAUAUGAGCUUCCUUUAUCUAUGCUAUAUGCAAACAGGGUCAAACUAAAAUAUGUAAGUAAGACUCUGUCAAUUGAUCUUUAAAAGAACAUAUGGCCCUAAUAAACAAACUCUAAAGAUUGUUGUUUCGAGUAAGAAGUUCUAGAUGAAUUGAAAAUUUCAAUCUGAAUCGAAUAUACAGAUGUUGUUGGUGACUUCUCAAAAUUUAUAGUUGAAGAUGGAUAUUGUAGGAGUUGCUGAUCAAAUUGCCCCUUCUCAUAUUCUAUAAAAUUUUGAAUUUUGCUUGUUCAUCCUUCAUGCCUUCAAAAUCAUUCUAGGUAUAAAACCUUUUAUCUUGAAAUCCAUCAUCUGUUGAAGCUAUAUAGACCUUAAAUUUAUCUCACUACAGGCUACUGUGUUGUGCUGUAGUAAAAUUGUCAAAAUCUACAAAAGAAUGCAAGUAAAAGUUAACUGUUGAAGUUUAUUAAGGUCUUGAUUAAUUAGAUAUAGGAAGAUUUAGUAAAGAAGAGAUGAGAAAAUAAGGUGCCUUUUGGUGAUAUUAUGUGAACUGGUCCAGUAAUAAAUGAAGUUCCUAUGUAUAUACUUUUGAUGGUAAUCCAUUUUUUGAGCUAUUUAGCUUCACUCAUCUAUCUAUAUUGAGAAGACUUAGUGAUAACUAUCAAUAUUAUAAUUUCAUUUCAGGGCUCAAGUAUGGGGCAGUACUUUAAAAAAUAUUUGGAGCCUAUCAAAUUGAAUGAUGUUCAUGUAAGUGAAAAGUGCUUUAACUUUUGUUGAAUUUAAGAAAUGCUUACGUUGGACUUGUUUUCUUUGAUCCAUCACUGCAAAAGGUUGAUUGGAAGACAAUGGAUCUAAGCUACCUGACCGAGGUAAUGUUGUAUCUAUAUAAGAAUUCACUUGGCUGGAUUCUUCAUUUGAUCUCCUUCAUUCAGCAAUUCUCAUAUUGGCAGGACAAAUUUUUGAGACACUUUGCUAAACUAGUUGCACAUGCCAAACCUGUUCAUGGACCUGAUUUAAUUUUAAAAGCACACAACACAGAUGGUGAUGCGUGGAUCCAAUAUAAAGAUCAAGCUGACUUUGAACAAAUUGCACGACAAUUUGGGAUAUUUGAAGAAUGGAAGGCAAUUCCUCAUCCUAUUUCAUAUUUCAUUAUUAUUGAUUUUUAGAAAAUAUAUCUAAAAAAAUUAAAUUCUAAAUAUAACACAUUUUUUUCUAAGAUCAAUUUGAAGGAUUGUCGCUUGUGACAAUAGUUUUCCUCUAUUCUUAAACUUGACUAAUCAUCCGAUUUUUCUCUUUAUGUAGCUUAAUUUUAGCUAUCCCUAGGUGGUUUAAGGCCAUUAUGGUUUUGCUUAACCCAAAUACCCCACUUAUGAUUUUAAUCAAGGUCCACAAUUUCAGUACUAGGUACUAUAAUGGUAGGUUACCUUUUUGGUAAGAUACUGUUGGUGUGGCAAAGUACAGGUUGGUAUGGUGUCAUCUGAAAUCGGGCGGUAUGAUUUGGUAUAGUACAGGACACUCCCUGAAUUUGAGGGAUACUGGGCAGUUCCUCUUGGUUUGGACGGGUAUGAACUGGUUCAACUCAUAUACCGAAUUAAACCUCAGUAUCAUAUGGUACGAUCAAUACGGAGGAUCUUGAUUCAGUAGUAUAUCAUAUAAUUUUUAUUAUUUUAUAAUAUUACAGUAAUAUUUUCAUAUCAUAUUAUAUUAUAAUAUAAUACACUAUUAUAGUAAUAUAGGGAAAAGACUUUUUUAGGUUGAAGGGAUAUACAAUGCCCUUUUGUCUGCUAAUUGAAUGCAAGGUGUCCCAACCAAUGGAUGGAAGUCAACUUAUUUUUAGUUUCCACAGGAGAGGCAAUGGAGCUAUAAUAUAGUACUAUCAUACAUUAUAGGACAAUACUAUAUUACAUAUAGUAUAAUAAAAAGCAACUUAACAUUAUUGUCUAUUAUUACAUGGUCCAAGAGCGCAAACGUGUCCAUCCUAAGAAAGCUAAUUUUUUAUAAAAGAAGUGCAUUUCUAGGGAUAUCAACAUGUCUCUCAAAGCAAAUUAGGCCUUUUCCCCACCAAACCUGGUGUCAGCCAUACCCACAUGAUUUGACUCCUUAUAUUUAAAAAAUCAAUCUAUAUUCCAAAUGGGGCCUUAGGGCCAGUUUGGAAAGGGGAUAAACCAGUUUUAUCCCUAUUAAACAUUGGGAUAAAUGCCAAAUGACCACUUUAUCCAUGAUAGAUUAUUAUACCGGUAGUUUAGACAAAGUAUCAGUUGUAGGUAUAAUUUCAUAAUUAUGGGGAGCUAGAAGGACAAUCGGUUUAACUGGAAUAGAGUUAAUUAUUGAAAAGAGUCCAAGAUUCGCUGAACCGGUACUGGGACCCGUACUGGUCGGCGGACGGUUCGGUACGGUAUCGGUUCGAUACCGUCCGACACACGGUACGCUGAGGCAUAUCAGUUCAGAAUCGGCACGCUAAUUUUUUUCUUAAAAGCUUUUUAGGUUUGAUUUAUUGGUAAUCAAUUUUUUAAAACUUUUUCAAUAAUUUUAAGUAUAAUUUAAUAUUUUUUGAUGUUUUUAGAUGUUUCUACGAUCCUGAUAUAACCUAAAUGAUGCAUCUUAUUGUUUUAAAGUGAUACAAAAUAUAAAAUAAUUAGUGAGAUGCUGCAUGCUACAAGAAGCAAUAUGAAAUUUNNNNNNNNNNNNNNNNNNNNNNNNNNNNNNNNNNNNNNNNNNNNNNNNNNNNNNNNNNNNNNNNNNNNNNNNNNNNNNNNNNNNNNNNNNNNNNNNNNNNNNNNNNNNNNNNNNNNNNNNNNNNNNNNNNNNNNNNNNNNNNNNNNNNNNNNNNNNNNNNNNNNNNNNNNNNNNNNNNNNNNNNNNNNNNNNNNNNNNNNNNNNNNNNNNNNNNNNNNNNNNNNNNNNNNNNNNNNNNNNNNNNNNNNNNNNNNNNNNNNNNNNNNNNNNNNNNNNNNNNNNNNNNNNNNNNNNNNNNNNNNNNNNNNNNNNNNNNNNNNNNNNNNNNNNNNNNNNNNNNNNNNNNNNNNNNNNNNNNNNNNNNNNNNNNNNNNNNNNNNNNNNNNNNNNNNNNNNNNNNNNNNNNNNNNNNNNNNNNNNNNNNNNNNNNNNNNNNNNNNNNNNNNNNNNNNNNNNNNNNNNNNNNNNNNNNNNNNNNNNNNNNNNNNNNNNNNNNNNNNNNNNNNNNNNNNNNNNNNNNNNNNNNNNNNNNNNNNNNNNNNNNNNNNNNNNNNNNNNNNNNNNNNNNNNNNNNNNNNNNNNNNNNNNNNNNNNNNNNNNNNNNNNNNNNNNNNNNNNNNNNNNNNNNNNNNNNNNNNNNNNNNNNNNNNNNNNNNNNNNNNNNNNNNNNNNNNNNNNNNNNNNNNNNNNNNNNNNNNNNNNNNNNNNNNNNNNNNNNNNNNNNNNNNNNNNNNNNNNNNNNNNNNNNNNNNNNNNNNNNNNNNNNNNNNNNNNNNNNNNNNNNNNNNNNNNNNNNNNNNNNNNNNNNNNNNNNNNNNNNNNNNNNNNNNNNNNNNNNNNNNNNNNNNNNNNNNNNNNNNNNNNNNNNNNNNNNNNNNNNNNNNNNNNNNNNNNNNNNNNNNNNNNNNNNNNNNNNNNNNNNNNNNNNNNNNNNNNNNNNNNNNNNNNNNNNNNNNNNNNNNNNNNNNNNNNNNNNNNNNNNNNNNNNNNNNNNNNNNNNNNNNNNNNNNNNNNNNNNNNNNNNNNNNNNNNNNNNNNNNNNNNNNNNNNNNNNNNNNNNNNNNNNNNNNNNNNNNNNNNNNNNNNNNNNNNNNNNNNNNNNNNNNNNNNNNNNNNNNNNNNNNNNNNNNNNNNNNNNNNNCUGCUACUGUUGGCCGACAAACCAUUUGAUUAUAGGAUCAUCCUCAUUGUCAACGAAAGCAUUAUGGAUCGUAGUUAUGUAUUUUAGCUCCACUUUCUCCUGAAUGCACUUUAGCCUCAACCUCAGAUUGUAGUGAACAUAUAUAAGAUCGUUGAGAUGCUUCUAUGUCAGACGAGUCCUUUGCUUACUAUUGAUGAGGGUGAAGAUAGACCAGUUGUGCUCAUAGCUACUCGAGGAGACUGUUUGAGAAAGGAUCCGGAUAGCUAGCUGCUCAAGAUUUCUCUCGGACAAACCAAAAUGAAUCUACCAUUCAGCUACAAAAAUAUUGAAGAAAAUUAUAUGUAAGUUAGUAUCAUAUUAGUAACCAUUUAACGUCAGGUAAUUUUUAUCGUUGAUAUGUAAUAUAUCUGGAUUCAUACUUCUCUUACGACCGUUGCUGAGACUCCAAAACUGUUGGUGCCCUUUUUAAAUAUUUUUUCUAUAAAAAAAAAAUAUAUUGUAAUAUGUUCAUCAUUGAAGAUACGAGUUACCUUAUGCAUGUCACUUAAGUUAAUUUACCUCUUCUAAACAUAAGGCAUCGACUUCUAGAUUAGGCUCCCAUCUUGUAAAUCAUAUUACAUAGAGCGUCCAGAAGUUCAUUAUCCAUAUCGAUUCCAGGUAUGGUGUAUUGGAACCUUGGGUUAAGGUAGUAAGCUGCAGGUAGAGUUCGUAAUUGUUAUAGUAAGAUUGUACAAGUACAGGAGCAGUCUAAUUUUUAAUAUUCUUGCUUACCUGGUAGCUGCAAGUUUCUAUCCAUUUAGAGGUAUCUCUCGUUGUCCACGGCCUGAAGCACUAAAUAUAAUGACUUGAUAGUCUUCACUAUCUUCUUGUGCUGCCAGAAUAUUUGCCUCGUCACUAAGUCCUCGACAAAUGCUCUCCUCAGUGCCGACCUUCACAAAUCUGCUUUCCUACCAUUCAGGAUUGACUAGUUUCUGAUGUAGGACGCCUUUCUCUCAAGAAGGCUAUCAAGUGCAACGUAGUUAGUAGUAAACCAUGUUACCCCUAGUCUUAAGAUCUUUCUUUGCAUACCUCAUUAGUGAUAGUUGCAUUUUUGGCCGGGGGGGGUUUGAAAGAGAGUUGAACGGAGGCCUGAGAGUUUCUUAGGGCUUUCCAACAUUCCAUCGUAUAAAAGGAGGAGAGGGGGAGAACCAGUUCGGAGCCGACCGGCUGGUUGGCACUGGUUACGCGUGAAACUAGCCGAAACUGGCCGGUUUGGACUGAUUCUGUCCAGUUCAUGACCGGUUCCGACCGGUUCAGGUUCGAUUCCAAACCCUACAGGCAAACCGAUCCAGUCCCGCACUGGGUCGGCUCGAUAUGGCCCAGUUCGGCAGACACUAGAAAAACUAAUCUGCGCUUAAUCUAUUAAUACUCUAUUAGUAUACAAUAUGAUUAGACAAAUGUUAAUAUAUUAAUGAAACACUGUAUAUUAAUAUUAUAUAAUGUUGUAAUAAGAUUAAUAUAUUAAUAAUCUACUAAAACUGUUAUAUUAAUUACUUUAUUGAUAUUAGUUUAUUAAUAGUACAUUAGUUCUCUUUUAUGUUAACAUAUUUAUUUUAUAUUCAAAUGAAAUACUGAAAGGGCAAUUUAUCCAAUUCACAAAAGAAUAACCUUUUCUCUGUUCUUAUCCUCAUACAAUAUCCAAACAACAGUUUCUUAUCCUCAGACAACUUCGAAACAAUAAACAAUAAAACCGCAAUCAUUACUUGGGAUAUAAUUUCACUCAAGCAGAAAUAAGUCCCUUUCAGAUAAACCUACCCAAAAUUAAAUCUUCCUCUUAUAAAGCCUAUUUUUAUCCCAAAAUUUUCCCUUUCCAAACUGCUCCUUGAAAGAUACAAGACUACCUUUUGCUACUUGUACCAUCUGUGGGAAAUGAUCAAUUAAUUGAAGAAGUUAACAUUACUUGCUAUUUUGUUGGUAAUGUUAAAUUAAAAUUCUUUUGACAGGAUGGCAUUCCCAGGACAGCAUAUAAAGGAGUUGUAGUGUUCCGGCAUCAAACUUCAAGGCGAAUAUAUCUUGUGGGCCCAGAUUCUCUCAAGCUACUUGGGCUAGAGCAUUCUUGAAAAUAAUCACAUCAUUGGUUUGUUUGAGGUGUUGCUGAUAGUUUUUCUUUCUUACGUUAAAAAAUUUUGAUUAAGUGUUCUCUUUGUAGAACUCAAGAUCAUAAGAUAUAGAGUAUAGGAAAUAUCAAUCAGGUUCAUUUUCCUAAUUGAGUAUAAGGUGGAAGCAUGUCAAAAGAAGCUCAAGUUCAUUUAGAAGACAAAAAAUACCAAGAAAGAAAAAUAGUUGAUAUAAUUGAAGGACUGAUAUAGAGAUGCUCAGACAACACAAACAUAAUUUAACGGCCAGCCGAACCAAAAGAGAUUCUUAUCAAACAUGCAUAUUUUUCUUGUUUGUCCUGUCUAGUCUUUGCCAUGUAAUUUUAACAUUCGCAUGUCACAGCAUAGCCCACAACUGGGUAAUCUACUGGAUGUAGGCUUACUGAUGAAUGUUGGAAGAAAAUGUAACAAUGGCACGUGGGAUGCAAAUUUAUACCAUGACGUCUAUUUCAUGAUCAGGCUAAAAUUCUAAAUGACGGUGCAGUAAUUUCUCUAUUGCUUUGUAUUAUGCAUAACUUUUUCUUUAUGACAAAACAAGCUUGGUCACGUUGGAAAAGUUGGAAAGUUCUGUUGUUCUUCUAAGUUUAUUUUAUAUUAUGCUUGUGAGUUUGUUGUGGUUUGAAUGCCAGCAUCAGAAUAUCCAAUAGUUGUAUGUACAUAUGAAGUUUGAGAGACUAAACUGCAAGUCUUAUCAGGUCAUAAUGUAAAUUUCAAUUUCUGUAUUCUUGAUAAUACACUUUUCAUAAAUUCUAUGGCCAAUGCUCUAGGCUAUGGUUCAUGCAAGAUUUUGUGGCUGUCAAUUGUCCACUUUUGUAGCUAAGAUGUGCAUACAACCAGACUUGAAAACCAUCUCAGAUUUGUUUGGCGAACAUGAGAAAGAACAAGCUAAAUCAUGGAUCAAUAAUUUUUGCAAUGUCAGCAUCAGACUUAGCCAACAAUGAUCAGCUAUGCAUACUUGACACAAAGAAGAAUGCUGGCUUCGGUUGACAAAAAUCAAUUCCCUGACAUACUGUAUGGACUUGUCCAUGAGUCGGUGCAGAGGUUUGGUUCAGGUGGCUCAAAUUCCUUGCUGCACUUCAUGAUGGCUAUAUACAUCUUUACUGAAUUUGUCAGAGUGGAGAAUCCAAGUGUCUUGAGCAAGUCAGAAGGUAGGCGAGGAGAUUGGGGGCUGGUUUUAUAGUUUGAAAAUUCAGACGUCCUCCAACUUUGGAUGGUUCAGUCUGCUCUUUUCUUAAUGCCAGAUGGUAUUUCUGAUAUUCCUGAUACCGGCUGCAAUCUUCACAGUGAGGCCUGGUUCAAUUGAAAAUGACAAUGAACAGUUUGUUACUCUAGCAGCUUCAGACAGUCUCAAAUGUUGGAAAAUGUUAUUGAACACCACUGUCAAUCAUAGUAGCAGGAUUCUUGAAUUGUUGGUACUGGUGGAGAAAGCAAUGCAAUAUUUGUAAUAGGAAUUAUAAAGAAUAAAGUAUGGACUAAGAUUAAGGUUAUUAUUGUUGGGAAAAUAAUUAUGUGUUACUUUAUCCAUAAUAUCAUUCUCAUUUAGCGCCAACAAUCCCAAAAAUGGGAAGGUGGACUGAUGUUAGGUUGACGACUGGUAGCUAAGGAUGUUACUAUAUAAGUAUAUAAUGAAUCAAAAUUUUAUAGUGAAGAUAUGAAGGUGUAUGAAAUAAUUUCGAAACGGCCUGAAUAAGAAUGUUUUGAACAAAUCUUGAUGGUUAUGGUUAGGGUGGUAUUCUGCAUUUUCAGGAAUUAGUUGUUGAAGAAAUCCCUCGACUUCUCUGGUUAUUGAUCUUUUUCUCUUAAGAUAACAAUGGUAGCAUGGUCAAAAUAAAUACCCAGGUACAGUAGAUUGUAAACAUCAGCAUCAGCAGCCAAAUCCUGGACCUCCUCAAGUUGCUUUUUUCAAAGUUUUGUUGAUUAUUUGCACAUAUUAUGCAUAAAUGUAUUUGAUCUUAAAUGGAAAAAUAGGUUAAGUGAUGAUGCAGAAAUUAUUUUAUAGUUUUGCAUAUGAAUAUCAUAUAGAAUUUGAUUUGUAUAAAAAAUAUGGUUGGCCUGCUAUCAAGGCACAAUAGGCCACCUUAAAGCCCGUGACACCAAGAUACAAUAACCCUUCAAGCUUAUAGCCAUGUUCGUUGUCUUCUUUCUGUAGUGGUAAAGCAGCCACAAAAGGACUCUUACAUAGACUUUCAUAUUGUAAUGCUAGGCCUCGAUAGUGUGGAAAGAAAUAUCCUCCUUCUGAUCCCACCUCUAUUAAUGUGCCAAAAAAAAAUUCAAUAGCCCUCCAACGUUAAAAAAAGAAAAAAAAAACAGACAACCAACUAGUUAAGAGAUGGGAAUAGAGUAAGAGGAAAAGAUAUGUCAAGUUCUAAAAUCCCCAACAAGGUUCCAAAGUUUUUUAAAUAGAGAAAAUAACUUCCUCUAUAACUUAUACUGUGUAACAGGUCUGUCUUCGUGAGUUAAACCUACACUUGGUUUUGAUAGUUUCCAUAUGAGGAACAAUAAGUGAACUGUAGUGAACUAAGUCUUAAACUAGAUCCUUCAGCCAAACUUUUACUAGCCACACAUGCAGUACAAAUGUUUGAUCAGGUUCAAGCAAGUAAUGCUAUUUACAGCUAGAUGUGUGAUCAAGUUCAAGAAGGUAAUGCUAUUUAUAUUCAUGUGCUGAUAUCUUGAAUUUUUAUGAGAGUUUCUAGAGAACAGCCCAAUCCUUAUAGUUGUGGUCUCAUCACAAUUCUCAAGUGAGUCCUCCGGGAGUACUCUUGACUAAUAUAUCGUAGAUUUCUGUCUUGGGAUCAUUCAAAGUUAGUAACUCUUUCUAAACCAUCGCAUAGAGCACUAUCGUUAUAAGGAUAGGGAGGAGAAUUUCUUUGGAACUUAGUUCUCUAUCAAAUUAUCAUGCCUCAGACUUGUCACCUAGGUCGGCUACAAUACACGGCCGUGUGAGCCCUUGAGUAAUGCUCUAGAGAUCAUGCAAGGCCUAUAAAUUCUAUACAACCUUUUCAUCACUGGAUAACAAUGAUCUUAAUUCACAUCAAAAUAGUUCCAUCAUCAACAAAUAACAAAAUUAUCCAAUUACCAAUUUAGCUAUUUGACGGGUAUUCGUGAUGCUCUAGCUAUUCAUUCAGUCACCAAUGAUUCCAAACCCCUGUCAAGCACAAAGCAUCCUGUGACUCUAAAAGAAAAAGAAAAGAGGUGGUGUGAACUUUAUAGCCUAAUAAGAAUCCUUCAUGCACAUACACCAUCAUGAAUAUAAAAACAUCUUUUAGCAAAUAUAUAGCUUAUAGGAAAAUAAUAAGAUUCAUACAUUAACAAUCUGAUAGUUAAAUAAUGCUUAACGGAUCCAAUAUAUAUUUAUAAAAAACCAUAUAAACCAUGCCAGCACACAUCAAGUUUUAACCAUAUAGCAACUUGUUUACUUACAUAUCACCAUAAUAGGAGUCUCAAGAUACAUAUCAUAUAUCACUAUAGUUUUGUUAAACUUAUCAUAUAUCAUCGAAAUAGUAACUCUAUUUAAUAGUAAUUUAGUGAGAUUCAUUAACUGGUUAACACAGUUUGGAUCUUGAUAAUAUUAUCAAUUCUAGCACUAGACUAGUCUCGCAUAUGCUCCAGCCUAUGGUAGGCCAAACAUAUGCACCAUAUUUCCGUCUGUGGCCAGUAACUACACUAUUGCAUCUCAACCUGCAACUGAUAUUACAUAUAUCACGUUUCACACGUACCGGCUAAUCUAGAUGCCCCUCUUUUCCUCUAAUCUUAUAGUUAAGCAACAUUCAAUUAAACAUAAUUUAUUAUCUUGAUUUAAUUUUGACAUUGGACUAGUCACAACCAUGCCCAGCCCGUGGUAGUGCAAACAUAUAUCAUUCUUGUGCUCAUGGCCGGUAAUCACAAUAUCUUAUUUUAGCCCAUAGAUGAUACACCAUGUCUCACUCAAGGCUAACUAGUCCAAAUGCCUCCUUUUUUUCUCCACUCUUACAAUUAUGAAAAUUAAGCUUAAUUAUGUAUUAACUAUAAUUAAGUGAAGUUCUUAAUCUAGAAUUGCUUUUUUUGACAUUGGACGAGUUAUAGCUAUGCUCUAGCACGUGGUAGGCCAAAUAUAGUAUUGCACCUUAGCCUAAGGCUGCUAUAGCAUAUACACCAUGUUUCUGGCAUGGCCAACCAAUCUGGAUGACUUCCAUGCCCCAUUAUACAAUCAUGAUUUCCUUUAAUCAUUUACACUCUGGAUGAUUACAAUACUUAAGCACAAAAUAGUAAGUUUUAUACAAUGUUAGAGUAAGUAACAUCAUACUCCAAACAACAUCAAAUGAUUUGCACAUAACACACCUUCCAACAUAUAUAAAAUACUUGCAAUCAUAUAGACNNNNNNNNNNNNNNNNNNNNNNNNNNNNNNNNNNNNNNNNNNNNNNNNNNNNNNNNNNNNNNNNNNNNNNNGGUAUUACAUAGGAAUUAUUUAUUUUAAUCAGCAAUAUAUGAUACAUUUAUGUAUAAGAUUGUCCAUAAUCAUAUAGAUAAUUGUGUUGAUGGAUUCUUACCUAUAAGAGUGACCGACUCGACACGGGGUAUACCAACCCACUUCUUAAUUAAGUACUAGAGAAAAAUACCUUGCUUAAUGCUCUCUUAUACAGAUGAUUUUUUCCCUAUAGAAUAAAGUCAAAACAUCACAAUAAAGAUCACGAAGUAGUUCAACAACCUAGAACCCUCUACUGAAAUGUUCUAGGGGUUCAUCAUUGAGUUCCUUGAAUCCCUUCAUGAAAUCCUACUGAUCAACUAGAGAGAGAAGAAAGAGGAAGGAAGAGAGAGAAAUAAAGAAAAAGAGUAAAAAGAGAACAGCACAAGAACUAUGAAGGUUCUAUCUCUCUUUCUUCAAAAUAGAGGAAGGGGAAGAGAGGGAUUGUCUAGCUAUUGUAGUGGCUGGAGGCAUGAUCCACAAUGGUCGUUGGCUGCGGCAUCAACGAACAAUGGUGGUUGGCUGGCAGAGAGAAAACAGAGAAGAAUAAUAGGAAGACAAAGCUCAACUGAAACAUAAAAAAAAUCAGCUCUGUUCAUAGCCAACCCACUGGCCGACGGUCAUGCCUCAUUGUGCAGCCACGGAGCACUCAAGAAAAUGGUGAUGGUCGGUCCAAACAAAUGGUCGGCGGAGGUGGAUUGUAAAAUAGAGGAAAGAACCAAAAAUAGGAGGGACCCUAUUUCAAAAGAGAUCCGACGACUUGUCGGCCUAAAUCUGAGUAAUAUUGAUGUCUUAGGAACCAAAAAAGAGAGGAGAAAAAGAACGAGCGGUCCUUACCUCGAGGUAUCAACAGUUUUCAUGCAAGUUCUCUCGAUGAAGACCCAAGGAUUCUCAGUGAAAAGCUCAAGAACAGUAACUAUAUAUAGAAGGAGAAUUUUCGAUGGAGUAUCUAGAGGUGGGUGGAAGGGUGAUUUAUCAUAAUUUUUCUAGGGUUUUUUGGAGUCUGGCAUGCCCUCAAAUCCUUCCUUCCACUGAAAUUGCAGGAGAGAAGAAAAAAUAGAUUUCCAUCGGGAGCCUUUCUCCCCUCACAUACGUAAUGGAUGUGCUAUAGGCCAAGUGCAGUCCAAGCCAACAUCGGACUAGGUCAGGCCAAUAAAAUUUUGGUUCAUCAUCACACAAAUUACGUAAUUGAUUUGUUUCCAUCCAUUGAAUCCUCUUCAUAGGAUCUCCAACAAUGAAAGUUGUGUUUCAACUGUAGGUGACUCCCUUAUGCAUUUAACCCUAUCACCUCGAUGAUUUAGGACCGCAUUCCUAUGAAGUCCUUUCAUCAAUUGAUCAAUAAUAUUCUUCUCAUAUCUCACAAAGUUAAGAAAAAUAACUUUGUUAGUAAGACUUUCACAGGCUUAAAUCCAACAAGUAUGUUGAUUGAUCUUUUUGUUUUCAUACUUUGAUUUAUUAAAUCAACCAAAGCUUUACAAUCACAAUUAAUAAUAGUUGGAAUAAUUCUACUAACUAAAGUAAUCUCAAAUAAUAAAUUUCUUAAUCUCUUAGCUUCUUUACAAGUUGUAUCUGAAGCUAUGAUCUUAGCCUACCUAAUGUUUUGGACUUCACAGUUUGUUUGGUUGAUCCCCAUGAGAUAGUAGCUUUUCCUAGGAUAAACACAUAUAUAAUAGCAGACAUAAUGUUAAAGUAUCGGCAAUCCAAUUUACAUCAUUGAAACCCUCCUAAAUAGUAGAACACAUUACAUGGCUCCCUUCAAGUAUUCAAAUAUUGUCACCAAAGCAAUCGAAUACUCUAUACUAGGAUUAGAAGCAUUAAAAACACUUAUAGCAUAGGCUAUAUUUGGUCCGGUCCUAUUGAUUAUAUAUAAGAAAGAUUUUUAUUAUGUUUGCAUAUUUCAACUGAGAUACAGAUUCUCCUUGUUUCUUCUUCAAAUACAUACUAGAUUCAUAGGGUGUAGAAACAAGUUUAUAAUCAAAGUAGUUGAAUUUCAUCAACAUUUUCCAUAGUAAUAAAUUGAUAUAAAGCUAUCUCUUCUAAAGCUUUUAUUAUUUUCAUUCCUACGAUAGCAUCUACUUAUCAUAGAUCCUUCAUCUCAAAGUUCUUCGACGGGUAUUGAUGAGAGCACAAAAGUGCAAUCAUCGUACCACCUUAAUUAGUAUUAUAGUUAAUUUUUAAUGAUAAAAUUAAUUAAUUAAUAUUGUAUUUGUGUUUGAGUGCAAGGAGUCCAAGAGACCCAAUAACAUUGGGUUUGAGCCCAAUGCCUGGCAGCUCGAGUUCAACAAAUUCCCCAGCUGCCAUGCAAGCAUGAAAUCCUGCGCCGUCCAUCAAGUUACCUACCAAAUCAGUCCCGCAUCAAGGCCCCACGAUCAUUUUCUUCUCGGCCAUCUGCCCAGCCAAUCAUCAACAUCCCAAAUAAAUUCAUUCUGUCCGCAUCGUCAACGAGUCCUCCUAGCAUCCCACGGAUCACGCCGUCAUCACAGCCGUCCAUCUCGUGAUCAGAUCAAGCUCCCACGCAUGUGAAGCAUGUGUGCGUUCCCACCUUCCUUCACAGCAGUGGCAUCCGUCCCAGCUUCAUCCCGUGCGAAAGAAAGGGAGAAGAAAGGAUUCAUCCCAUCCGCAUUCCUCUUCCGGCUUCCCGUGAUCCCGCCUCACAGAGCCGUGCGCCCAUUCUGAAAAACCAAGCAUCGCAUCCCAGCGCCCGGAUCCAAGCCUCCCGUGAUGCUAGCAGUGGUCCCACGGCAGCCUCCGCCUCAGCCCGCCAGCCCCUCCUUCCGUCCGACGCAGCAUCCACGUCUUCUUCCUCCCGUCGAUCACGUUCCCAGCCGGCCGUGAUCAGCGAUCCAGCCUCCUCCCAGCGCCCGGAUCUCUUCCAUGAUCGGCUCCUUACAGCAGCAUCUCCUCCGCCUCAGCCCGCAUCUCCUUCCUUCCGCGAUCGCACCAGCCUGACCCGAAGAAGCAAGGCCACGUCCUCCUCACAGCCGUGGCAUCCAUCCCAGCUCCUUCCACAUCCUCCGCAAUCCACCCAGCCGUCCGCAUCCGUGAUCCAAGCAACCCGGACGAUCGCCUCCUCCCAGCGAUCUUGCGUCCGUUACCUCCUCCCGGCGUUUUCAGCCUCUCCCGUUGUGGAUGACGCGUUCGGAUCCGCCCCACAGAUCACGCUCGCCCGUUUCUCCUCCUCUCCAUGCUGUGGCGUCUAUGCAGUCCAAGCCAACAUCGGACUAGGUCAGGCCAAUAAAAUUUUGGUUCAUCAUCACACAAAUUACGUAAUUGAUUUGUUUCCAUCCAUUGAAUCCUCUUCAUAGGAUCUCCAACAAUGAAAGUUGUGUUUCAACUGUAGGUGACUCCCUUAUGCAUUUAACCCUAUCACCUCGAUGAUUUAGGACCGCAUUCCUAUGAAGUCCUUUCAUCAAUUGAUCAAUAAUAUUCUUCUCAUAUCUCACAAAGUUAAGAAAAAUAACUUUGUUAGUAAGACUUUCACAGGCUUAAAUCCAACAAGUAUGUUGAUUGAUCUUUUUGUUUUCAUACUUUGAUUUAUUAAAUCAACCAAAGCUUUACAAUCACAAUUAAUAAUAGUUGGAAUAAUUCUACUAACUAAAGUAAUCUCAAAUAAUAAAUUUCUUAAUCUCUUAGCUUCUUUACAAGUUGUAUCUGAAGCUAUGAUCUUAGCCUACCUAAUGUUUUGGACUUCACAGUUUGUUUGGUUGAUCCCCAUGAGAUAGUAGCUUUUCCUAGGAUAAACACAUAUAUAAUAGCAGACAUAAUGUUAAAGUAUCGGCAAUCCAAUUUACAUCAUUGAAACCCUCCUAAAUAGUAGAACACAUUACAUGGCUCCCUUCAAGUAUUCAAAUAUUGUCACCAAAGCAAUCGAAUACUCUAUACUAGGAUUAGAAGCAUUAAAAACACUUAUAGCAUAGGCUAUAUUUGGUCCGGUCCUAUUGAUUAUAUAUAAGAAAGAUUUUUAUUAUGUUUGCAUAUUUCAACUGAGAUACAGAUUCUCCUUGUUUCUUCUUCAAAUACAUACUAGAUUCAUAGGGUGUAGAAACAAGUUUAUAAUCAAAGUAGUUGAAUUUCAUCAACAUUUUCCAUAGUAAUAAAUUGAUAUAAAGCUAUCUCUUCUAAAGCUUUUAUUAUUUUCAUUCCUNNNNNNNNNNNNNNNNNNNNNNNNNNNNNNNNNNNNNNNNNNNNNNNNGGUAUCCUCACAAUAUUUAGGUUUGUCCUAAAACCAAAAUGUCAUCAACAUACAAACAUAAGAUGACUCAUUCACUCCCUAUUACCUUAUUGCAUACAAAUUUCUCAUACUCAUUAACUAUAAAGCCAUAGGAUAUGAUAAUUUAAUAAAUAUUUUCACCAGUAUUUAAGGACCUAUUUAAGUCCAUACAAUGACUUCACCAACUUGCAAACUUUCUUUUCUACCCUCUUAUCAAAGAGACCCUUCAAGUUGUUCAACAUAAAUAUCCAUAUCUAGUUCACCAUUGAAGAAUAUUAUUUUAAUAUCAAUUUGGUGAAUAACUAACUUAUAAGUUGAUGCUAGAGCUAGUAAGCUUUUAAUGGUAGACAUUCUAGAUAUUGGAGAGUGGUACGUAACAAAGUAAUUUAUCCAUUUCUUCUGGAUAAAACAUUUGGCUAAUACUCUAGCCUUAUAUUUUUCUAUACUACCAUCAUGUCUCAACUUUUUCCAAAAUACUUGCUUACACCCAUAUAAAUUUAUUCUUUUGGAAUAAUUAAAGUCCAAAUGUUGCUCGCAGUAAGUAAUUGAAACUCAAAGUUAAUAGCAUCCCUCCAAAAAGGUGCAUCCAUGGAAGGCAUAUCUUCUUCAUAAGUUUUAGGUUCACCUUCUACAAAAUGAUGAAAAACUCUUCACCAAAAGUUCUUUUGAACUCUAGCUAUCUUACUUCUUCUAUAUUCAAAUUCAAGUUCAGGUUCUAAAUGUCUAAUGAGCUACUAGUGGGAAUAGAAAAGGGUUGACUAUAGACAUAGCUUGGAAUUUUAAUUGUAAAAAGAAUAUCUUCUUGUCACUUCUAUAAUACAUUAUUGGCUACUUCACCAAUUAUACAUCCACAAAAGUUGCAUUCCCUUGUUUGUCAAGCUAGUUUUAUUCGAUCCAAAGCAAACUAUUUUCUUUUUAGUUGUACAUAUGGGGGAAUCUUUCAUUACUAUUUUAGUUUACAUUGAUGACAUUAUUGUAGCUAGUAAUGAUGGCAAUCAUUACUAGAUAUUGGAGUAGGGCAUCAGGCACAGGUUGGAGAGCUGGCAGACGGGCGCUCUGUCUAUGAUAGACAGAGUCAUCCUGGUACGGUCUGUUCUGAGCUCGAUCCCUGUCUAUUUGCUUUUCCACACUAUGGUGCCACUUGCAACGCUACAGUAUAUGGAGCGACAGUUCAGGAGUUUCCUUUAGGGGUGACAUGGGGCAGGAGCGGUGUUCAUCUGCUGGCCUGGGAGACCAUUGUUAGCCGACCAGUAGUGGGAGAUUGGGAGUCCACUCCUUGAUCGGGCGAUGGAAGAUCCUUGCGACUAGAUUAGCAGCCAAAUUUUUUCUAGAGCCGAGAUGUCUCUGGGGUGCCUUGAUGAGGGCUAAGUAUGGGGAUUCGACCGAUCCGACUGUCUUCCGUACUAGCCAUCGUAGCUCUUUCAUCUGUAGAAAGAUCUGCGCCCAUGCCCUAGCAGUCUUACCGGAGAUCAGAUGAGAGAUCGGAGAUGGUCGGGCUAUUGAUGGCUUGGAGGACAGGUGGCUCUCUGAAGUGCCACUUCGCUGCUGGCUUACCCUGAUCGACGUUAGAUGCCUGGAGGGGUGUCGAGUCUGUGACUUAUUUACCCUUAGUAGGCGGGCAUGGGAUGAGGACCUUGUCUGACAGGCCUUUGGGGAGCGUUUGGCCAAGCGAGUCCUAUCCUUGCUGAUUCUUACUGUGGAGGCUACAGACAUGAGGGUCUGGAGCACGAUCGGAAGAUCAGAGGUGAAGGCCCGUGACUUAGUCCGAGUGGUCAGGAGAUCUUCGGCUCGAUAGAUUGAGAGGACCUGGAUCUGGAGGCUUCAUAUUCACCCACAAGUCGUCUUAUUCGUCUAAAAGGUGGCUUGGGGUUGUUUGCCUACUGGAGGCAUACUGGCACGGUGAGGGAUGCACAUCUCUCCGAAGUGCCCAGAUUGCCCAAGGGGGGAGGAGUCUAUUUUUCAUGUCAUCAUCGGCUGCCCGAGGACCGCACAGAUUUAGGGUGCGUCUCGAGCCCCCACAACCCAUGGCAGGGGUGGUCAUCGACCGAGAAUUUUCUACUCUUUCUGAAGUCUUCAUCGUGGAGGCUUGGCCUUGAAGGACUUGGGGUCAGGGCUGCCUACUUGGCUUACCACUGCUAGCUAAAUAGAAAUGCCCGGGUCUUCGAGGAUAGCAGAGCGCAUCAUCUGAGGUCGGUAGUGGACAGGGCUCUUCUUCAUGCGGCGGAGGUCACCUGUGCCACCACACUGUCGUCUCUUGGGACAGUUGGAGAAAUAUGUGACUCCCCUUUUGCUCUUGCAACGUCCAGAACCGUGCUCGUCUCCUAGGAGCCCCCACCUCCAAGCUUUUUCAAGAUGAAUUUUGAUGGUAGUGUUUAUGAGAAAGGGUGCACUGGAGGCAUGGAUUUUGUCUUUAGAGACUAUGAUGCCAGACUGAUAGUGGCCGGAGGCCGACGGAUCUUCAAUACGCCUGUAGUCGGUGCUGAGCUUAGAGCUGCAUGGGAUGGAGUCACCUAUGUGAGGCGGGUACUGGGGCAGACCACAUUCUUCUUGAGAGAGACUCGGCCAUGGUGAUUGUGUAGAUUCAGGGUCGGAGACUCGACGCGGGUUCUAGUCCACUGCUAUAUGAUAUUCGCAUGCUCUUAGAAGGUAAAUAGUGCGGCUGAUUGGGAGGCCUCAUCUGCGGCUCACCAUUCUGGAGGCUUCAUCUAGCUUGAUCUCGUGUCGGUGCCUCACCCUUUGUGUUAUCCUUUUUUUUUUGUUGACUACACCCACGCCUGGCGUGUGUGAGCUGCCGUUGUACAAAAAAAAAUGAUGGCAAUCCAUUGGUACUCCCAAAGCCUUCGAAAAAGAUUUCACAUCAAGGAUCUCGUGCCACUUAAAUACUUUCCUAGGAUUAUGGUUGCUUGCUCCAAAGAUGGUAUUCACAUCUCACAGUGAAAGUAUACAUUGUACCUUCUUGGUAAUAGGUUUUCUUGAUACACAUCUUGCUUUCUCAAUGGAGCAAAAUAUGAAACUAACUGAUAGUGCUAGUGAACCAUUAUGAGAUCCUUCACCAUAUCAUCAUAUUGUUGGCCAUUUCAUCUACCUUACUAUUAGUCAUCCAAAUAUUAUUAACCCUAUUCACAUCCCUAGUAGAUUAAUUUACCACCAUCCUCCACCCAUAUAAUCGUCUCUUGCCUGCUACAAUAUAGUUCUUUCACUAUCUAAAACAAUCAAUUGGUCAAAUUCUCCCUUUUUUAAUCUCAUAGCCCUCUUCACCUAAAGGAAUUUUGUGUUACCCUUUGACUUGCCAAUUCACUUAGACUAAUGUGUUACAUUGGUCACUCUCUCGUCUCCCAAAAAACCAAGUGUCAAGUAAUUGUUUCUCACUCUUCUAUUGAAGUAGAACACUAUGCCAUGGCUGAGUCAAUUUGGCUUCUAUAGUUAGUGCAUGAUUUGGGCAUUGCACACACCUACCUAGCACUUCUAUUUAGUGACAAUCAAGAUGCACUUUUUAUAUUGCUGCCAAUCUUUUUUUUAAUGAGCAUACUAAAUACAUUGAGCUUGAUCAUCAUCUUAUUCAAGACAAAAUCCGCUUGGGCUUGUUAAGGACAAUAUAUAUUUCUAAUACCAAUUAGCUCGUUGAUCUAAGCUGAAAAAGAAUCGAAUACAGAUCGGAUAUUAGUAUAUUUAUAUCUGUAUCUAUUUAUAUUUGAUGAAUACGGACAUGAAUAUAGAAGUUAAUUGGAUGCAAAACUAUAUGUCCUUAAUAGAUACAUAACAUAAGUAUGGAUGUAAAUUGAUCACAGAAUAGAAGGUAAAUUAAGUUAGCAACAUGUUAAUAUUAUCAUUUAUUUAUCUUAAAAGUUUACGAAUGCUAUAUAAAUUUAAAUAGAAUUACAUACAGAGUCGGAUAUUUGGAUAUAGAUCAAAUGGUUGUCUAUCAAUGUGUGUAUAUGUUUUCUUUGAUAGAUAUGGAUACUAAUAUAGAUAGUCUAGAUGCUCAAAUUUAUAGGUAUAUCUAGAUAGAUUUGGUUAUGAAUAUGGAUCAUGAUGAAUAUUAUCUAAUCCAUUUUCAUCCUUAGGUUGAUAUACUUACUAAAAUACCUUGCAUGAAAUAGUUUCAUUAAUUACUUGGCAAGCUAGAUAUUUAUUAUGUUCACACUCCCAUUGGAGACUGUUACUGUUAGGCAAGAAUCUUGCCACAUUAGGUUAGCCAAAUAGCCAACUAAAGCAGACAAUGGAUCAUAUGUUAGGUCAACUAUUAUGAUAUAGUUUAUCAUAUGUCUUUUAAAUAUUGUAUAAUGUCAUUCUUGAACAUUUUAGGUAGGAGAUCAAUAUCAUGUUCAGUGGUAGUAUCCCAUUGAAUAAAGGAUUUGAGCUAUAUAUAUAUAUUUAUAUAUGCAUCUCAUAUUGAAUGGAGAAUAAAUUUCAAAUUCAACUCUACCUUUUGUUAAAUGAGGGGUUAAUGUGAGCAAAUAAACAAGAGAAAAGGAUUUGAGAAAAAGCAACAAAUGGGUUGGUAAUUAAUGUUAUAUUUACCAAGUCUAAUGGAAAAAAAAUGUUAGAGUGGGGGGAUGAUGUGGCAAACUAUAGGUCUUGGGGAAGUUAAUUUACUAAAUAUGGUCUGAAAACUGGGAAGGUCCUUCAAUAAAACAUUUUAAAAAUGUAUAUAUUUUCAAAGAAAUUUUUUUUUGUGAGAGAGAUGUAUAAUGAAAGUGCGACCUUUUUAUGUCAAACUUACCUUCCUAUGUCAAUCUUAGAACAUUUCUACUCAGAACCUUCCUUGACUAAACACACUUCAUUAAUGAAAGUAUAUCUUUUCUUUUUAAGUAUUUCAUAAUAUAAACAAAGUUAUUGCACAUAAGCAUCCAAAGUUUCAAAUACAUAUCUUGACUUUUUCAAAUCUAAAACUUAACGAAAAUGACAUCCCAUAUAAUAACUAUUUAUUGAACUUUGAUUGGAAAUAUACUUGGAACUCAAAGGAAAAAACGUACAUGCACAUUCUUUUAAAAGUCUAUAUAUCGCAUGAAUACACUAAAACUUUGUCAUGCAAUGGACAAUAAGGAAGAAAUUGUUCAUCUAGCUAGUUGCAAUAUAUUUUGAAAACACCAAGUUAAUUAUAACUCCCAUCUCCCUUUGCCACGAGAUUUUCUUCUUCUCAUUAAAGAUGAUGGCAGCAACAAAAUUACUAGUAUUUACUGAAUAAGAAAAAAAAAGCUGAAACAUAGAUUUGCAUUUAGUAAAUAAUAUUUCAUUUAUAGGAGAAAUAAAAGAUUAAAUAACAAUCUCCUUCUCAAUGUGCAAUGGUUGUCGUAUUAAUAAAACCAUGAGAAAAUGAUUGUUAUUUGAUUAAAUUUGCACUAGUUGCAUUUAUAUUCCAAUGGAGGCCUUUGAAAUAGCUACCAUCUCAAAUAUAAAUUUAUAAUGAUAGGACAAUCAUUAUUUUUAUCUCGUCUUUCACGGUACUUCCUCUUUUUUUUCGUUUUUCUUAUUUUUUCUUUCCUCCAUUAUUCAUGUACCACUCUUCCACAACAUGUGACCAGAGUUGAUGUUGGCAUAUUAUCCUGAAUUGGGGUUGUAUCUUUUGCAUGAGAGAAAGGAUUCACCUUCAUGCAUACCUACUGCUAGAUCACCUAUUGUAUAAAUCUCAAAGUACUUCAAAUUUAAUAGUAUACCUAUCUGCAUAGAUUUUAAAAUAAUUAGCAGAUGAUCCAAGGAUGAUUUCUACGAAAAAUCCACCCCCGAACCCACCAACCUUUAGACUUUUAUUAGAUUUCUCAACGAGACGGAGUACCACCUGUACAAAAUCCGAUGAAUAAAGCUGCAUUGAAUAAAACACAAAUUUACGCUGGGAAAUCAACUCAUGCCUCGUCUAGACGUCAGAAUGUUCGAAACGAGCCAAGAAAGAACGCGCAAAAGGGUAGCGGUAACGGUCAAGGUUUGAGAAAAGCAACCGUUACGGACCGUCAUGACGGUUUCGAGCCCUCUUAAUUCUAACGUUUCCAGGUUUGUUUCCAUGAUAACGGUAAAUAAGAUCAUGGCAAUUAUAAAUCCGCCUCGUUACUUAUCAUUUGAACUGUUUUUCAAUAAAAUAAUAUUUUUUCCAAAAUUCUAAUUCAUUAGUCUUUCUAUAAAUAGUGGUUUGAAAAAAUAUAUUAUUAUACUAAAUUAUUAAUGCUAAAUAACUCCAAAUAAGGAUAAAGCAAUGCUAUUAAGAACAUUAUAGAGGUUAAUAAUGGUUUUUGGUAGUAAUAAAAUAAUGCCAUUAUUUAUUUAUUUAUUUUUUUAUUAAAAUAAAUGGAUCAAAAAAUAAAAUAUUUUGAAGUGUCAAAAAUAACUCUCCACCUCUAAUCUAUAGAGUAUUAUUGGAGUGACUAACUAUACAAUCAGCCAAAGAAUAACGCGGUUAUUUGAACGCUGGUAAAGGUUGGCGUGAAACGGCGGUAAAAGUCGUAACGAAACAUCGCCGCAGCCUAUCCGUUUGGCGGCGGCAAUCACCCACUCUUUUUCCCCACGCGCUGUCUCUCUGUCUCAUCCCUUCGCUUCUCUUCGCUGGUCUUUGGACGACCCCACCCAGCAUCGAGUCAAAGCCCUCCCCCCGACCCCCACUCUGUUUCCUCGCCGCUUCUUCUCUCUCUUUGAUCGCUUCUAUCCUUGCGUCCAUCUCCCCGCGUUUCGUCUCUCGUCGCUUCUUCCUUCGAGCGCCCGAGGAGUUCGAUCGCUCGGUGGGGCAAGGAGGGCGCCGUCCGCGGGAGCGCCAGCGGGGCGGAGCAUGGGCGGCGGCAAAUUAGGGUUUCCAAGGGAAGAUCGUCCUUAAAAGAAUCCGAAGUGGUAUGAUUCGGUUCCUUCUUCCUGUUCUUCGGCAUCUUUUUUGUUGAUUCAUUUCCAUUUUCUUGUUUGUUUUAUGGCUUAGGGUUUUCUAGUUCUAGCAUUUUGUAUUUGGAGCAGUUGAUGAUCGAUGAUUCCAAUCGAUGCGAAUCGAGAUGAAUUUUUGUGGAUACUGAUUAAUUAUCCCUUCAUCGGUGCUCUUUUUUAGAUAGAUAUCCUUAUAAAGAAGUAUCUUAAGUUGAACCAUUUUUUUUUGGGAAGUAUGGGUAUCAUGACGUCUUUGUGAUUGGUUUUGGAAGACUAAUCGCUUUAAGGUUGGUUAUACUUCUAAAAUGGUUGUUUUCUUAUGAUUAUAAGGAUCUGAUUAGUUUGUAUUUUGUAAUAGAUUAAUAUCUCUACAUCAGCCACUUGGCUGUUGCAUUCUCUCACAGGGAUGGCGCGCUGUGUCGUUCUUAUAGUUUGGUUUUCUCCAUCGAUUGUGAGUUGGAACCUGUUGAUGGCAUUUAUAGCACUUUUCUUGGGAAGCUCACGAUUCAUUAAUGUUAAAGCAUGUCAUAUUGAUAACAAUUGAAAAUCAACUGAUUUGCCAAUUGAGGAGAUACCUCAGAAUCUUCUAGGAAAACAUUUCUUUAUGGAAAAAGCAAACUAAAUUGAAAACCUUCUAAAAGUACACUAACAAAUACAUCAAGUUUUAAGGCUCCGAACAAAGGGUGAUUCCUAGAUGUUUGGAUAUCUGGAAAAUUGGUUCCAUUUUGAUACCUCACACUGGUUACAGCGUGGCCUGGUUCAUUCUAAAUUAGGAAAUAAGGUACACAAUCCCUGAUUUAUCACCUCAAUAUGGACUGAUCCUGUUGAAUGAUAUAAUCACCAGAUAGGCUGAUAAGCAACAAAACCCCUGUCAGAGAAUAACAUUGAUACCUUAGAAUUAUUGUAAAAAAAAGGAGGAUGCCAUAAGGUGGCUGGUUGUGAAUUUCUCUUGCAUCAUCAUGCACAUCCAAAGAGUUCUUGUCCUGAAUGGUUCUUGUUGAUCUAGAAUGACUUAUUUCCAGGGAAAUAGCCAUUGAUUGGACAAUGAUGGUAGAUUUUGUAAUUGUCUUGUGUCUUAUGAUUUCUUAUGUGACAAGCAUAAAGUGGCUUGCUUCAAGGAAAGCCAGGCCUCCUAAGAUGAAAUUUGUUAUAAAAAAAUAAAUACCUGCAUUCUCUACUGAUGAGUUUACUUUGGAUAUGAAAAUAGUCUUUUAACUGCAUGGCAUCAUGCAUCAUGUUCCGAAAACAAGACCAUGACAAACCCUAAACACUAUAGGCAUCACUUUGCCUAUUUAGCAUUCUGGUAGUGGCAACUGAAGUGUUCAUUGGUUGUAUGUUUUGUUUUCCCCAUUACUUAAAAAUAAUGCUUUUGGCUGUUUGGCUAGGAAUGAAAAGUGUGCCAGUUUGGUGUCUUCUAAGCUGAUCCAAAGAGAACUUUUACAUGGUCAGUGCCUUUCUUGGGCUGACUUCCAACCUGGACCAGGUUACAUCAAUUGGAAGAAAAAAAAAUCCCUGAGCUUAACCCAACCAGGCCCAACCCCACAAUAUUUCGUAGUUAGUAAUAGAGAAUUCAAGGAUAUUUUAAUGGUUCCCAAGACUCCUUUUCUAAAAGCUCAAAAUGAUUUUAAAUCAUCAGAUACCAGAUAAAUUAGUUUACUUUGAAACAGGAUAUUUGAUAGGCGAAAAAGUAAAAGUCCAUUAGUGAACUUCGAAAGCCUGCAUAACAUAUCCUAGUGUGUGUGUGUGUGUGUGUGUGUGAGAGAGAGAGAGAGAGAGAGAGAGANNNNNNNNNNNNNNNNNNNNGCAUAACAUAUCCUAUGUGUGUGUGUGUGUGUGUGUGAGAGAGAGAGAGAGAGAGAGAGAGAGAGCAAGCACUAAACUUUCUAAUGAUGUACUUGUGGAUUGUGACUGAAGGUUGCAAGCUUGCAACCAAAACUCACCAUGUCAAUCAUAAUGAAGUUGUAGAAAGAAAACCAUGGGAAAAUGUUGGUCCAGAGUGUUUGAGAAUUGGGGAUGGGAUGACAAGAAAGGGGGGAAGAGAAAGGUUUUAUGUGAUGGGAUAUAAAGAGGAGUACUGCCAUACCAAAAGAGAUUCUUGCACUCCCUUUAUGCACCAAUCAUGUACUACAUAGGCAAUGCAUAGAGGAGCCCAUGGAGUCAUCUUUUAUGAUGAAGUGGUGGAUGACUGAUUAGAUGGGAUUGUUGAGAUUCCUAGCAAGUAAAACAAUAGGAUAGGAAUAUAUUGUGCCUAGAAUCAAGAAAUUAAUUGAAUAAUCUGAUAUAGGACAAUUCAAGUAGAUACUAUGCACAUUUUAUAAUAUAUGAUCAAUGCACAUACUACAUAUAUUAUUUAUACUAUAUAUAUACAGGCUGGAGUGUUGAAGUUGGUGUUUAUAUGGGUCCAACCUAAAAGCAUAUUUAUGAGUCUAAAAUCCUCAUGCAGUACCCACUGGACAAAAAUGUUUGACCCAGCAUGACCUUUUUUCUCCUCCCAUUGACGUGAUGGACAAUCCUAAUCCAUUUUAAUUGGGCCUUUAAUUUACUUGAAGGAUCGAGAGGUUUUACAUGAAUCUCUUUGCUUUUCUCAUUAGCCUUUCAUUUGUCAUCAAUGUUGAUGAUAUAAGUAAUAUUUAGACUCUUUGAAUGUUAUAAAUUAGGUUAUUUGCUUCAUUUAGUUUCCAUUAGAAGGGCUUUUAAAAGUGUAUCGAGGCAGUUAUCAAAUUGGUGGCAGCAAUGGAGUAGGUGAUCCAAGUUGAGAGGUCUCAUAUGUGUAUUGUCUCUUUUACCGGUACCAGGACUCAAAUUCUAAAUCAAAGAUAUUCUGGACCAUGUUCUCUUCAAGAGAUGGGGUUUCUCAAAAUGGGUGGGCUGUGUAUAAACAAGUUCACAUCACUUCAGAUCAUAUUAGGCCUUUUGAGUUGGGUGGAUUUAAUUCCAAUUAAUUUCUAAAAGUAUGAUGAGGCAUAUUGCUUGCACUCACAUUUAUGGAGGACAUGUAGGGUGCAGAUAGUUAAUUGUCUUUCAUGGGAUGGGAUAUUUGAACAUGCUGUGAACUGUGGGCUGUCUACAAAUCAUGAGGGAGUGAGGACGUUAGUUGGAAAAGAUUGGGUUAGAAGUGAGCCACAUUCAUGAGGAGCUAGUUCUUUGGAAGGGCAAAGGUGCUAAUCCUACUCAUAAUGGAUGAUGAAUCAUACUCAGCAGCAAAGCCAGAAAUUUUUCCUUUUUUAUUGGGGGGGAGGGGAGGGGGUAGGGAGGGACAAAUUUUUAUUAAAAUAGAAAUUCUAUCCUAUUGUUAUGUGCUUCAAAAAAUAAUAAAAAGGGAAAUAGUACCAUUGUUAAAUAUUUACCAAUAUUCACAAGCAGAAGAAAUUAUAACUCAAUAAAAUAACAAGGGCACAUAUUGUGUAUGAACAUCUCUGUAGUUUAGAUUUAUUUUAUACCAUUAUGUCACUGAUGAGAAAGAAGUAAACAGGAUGUUGUAAUGUUGCAUUCAAAGAAAAGGAUGAUAGAAUGAUGAGAUCUAGAGUUGUGUCUUGCAUUUGAAUAAUUAUAUAUUAUGUAAUGAUGUAGAAAUGUUGCUUCCGCUGUCUCAAUUAUUAGGAUCAAAAAAUAUGGAUGGAUGAAAAAAUUGAGAAUGUGUAGUGAUGGAAGAAAAGAAGAUAUGACUUGAUAAAUCGGAAUAUUAAUGCUGUGAGUAGAAGGAGGGAAGAGAGAAAUGGAAAUCUUGGGCUCCUGAAUUUUAUUUUUCUUUUAUAUUUUUUUAUAAAAUGGAAAUAAGACAUAAGAAAGAAAAUCGCAUGAAAUAGUAAAUAGGAGGGUGGUGUUGGUGGAAUAUAACUCAAUAUAGCUGGGCACAUGCAAGGUAGUGGGAUUUCUUUUUCCUUUGGGUUUAUUUAAAAUGCUUUAGUUCAAUGAUUCUAGGGACAUGGUUUGGGAGGGUGUCAAGAUACAGGGGAAUUGUGCAUUAUGUUUUGUGAGCAUUCCAUGCCAAGGAGGGGGCCAAGAUUUCUGUUGAGUUAUGUCUUUGUGACUAUUAUGAGUUGUAAGACUUAAUAUAUUAUAAGGGGGGCCCAUGACUGUAACACCUUUAAUUUAAGGGAGUUCUUCCACUAGUAGUCCAUGGAGGUGCUUUGAAAUCCUAGGGGUAACACGGGGGGGCAUGCACCACUGAUAUCACAUGGUUAUUGGUGCAAGAGGAGAAUAGUUCUUUUCCAUUUGUGCCAUUUUGGUGUUGUAGCUUCUCCUGUGGAAAAUGCUGGCAAUAAAAUGGAUGGUUCAAUCGUUUUAUGGCAAUUAGAGCUAGAAUUUUGGUGACUAUCACAAAGAUUGAUGUGAUAUUGUCUACUCUAAUAGGAGAACUGCAUUCCGAGUUGCACAAAUCAUAACGGAAGGUAGGGGUGGGGAUACUAGAGCAUUUAUGUGCAAAAUAUCUAAUGUUUUAUUACCUUUAUAGGUUUUAUAGGAUUUUAUGGUAUAUUACAAUUGCAUUUGAAAGUAUACUCAACUAUAUGUUAGAUUGACAUGAUCUACUUAAUCUUGAAGGUAAUGUAUCAAGAGAUUUCGAUGAUAUAUAACUUGAAUGUCUCAUGAUGUUGAUAUGUUUCCCCUUGGACUUUUAAAGUAUAUCAUCUUUUUAAGAAUACGAAUUACUUAAAAAUUAUGACAUUUGGGAUAGCAAAUUAUAACAUUAUGAUAACAUUCUAGUACUCUAAUGGCACCUAUGCACAUUUAUCAUAUGUAUUCAGCACUGGUAUGUUAUGGAUCAUUAACCAGUGCCUAUGAAGGAAUUAUUACUCAAAUUUGGAAAUUCUAAUUUAUUUGUGAUUUUACGUAUAAAAGAAAAAAAAUAUAAUGUAAUGUGCAUUAGAAGAGAUUAUGUUGUUUUCAUGGAUAUGGUGAUAUGGUAAAAAAAUGAACUAAAUGGAUGAAGAAUUUAAUCAUAAAUUUAGUUUCUUCAUUUCUAGUCCCUCGGCAGUUCAUUCAGUGUAGUGGAGUAUUCAUUAAUGGUUUCCUUCUCUCUCUCUCUCUCUCAAUAUUUGAGAUUGUUGGCGGGCAUUAUUAGUGCAUAGGGGAAGACAAGUACAUGAUCAAUUCUUGCACUCAUUUUUGAUAUGUUCUGGACAUCUUGUCUAAUGAAGUAAUUUGAAAAGGCUGAUAUCUCCUUCAGCUCUUUCCUUUUAGCUACUAUGACAUGUUUUCUGUUCCUCCUUUCCAUUAGGUUUUGAAGUGGUAUUGAGCCUUGAGUUUCAUGAAUGUUCUUGGGGUUAGCUUCGACAAAGAAAAGGGAAGUUAGUUUAAGAUAGUGACUAGAUUUGUCAUGCAAAUUAUUGGAGACUACGAACAUUGGUCAUAAUUCGUGCAUUAGUAAGAAUCAGUGAUCAUUGAACCAACCUGAAUCGGUGGUUCGGCUUGUACUGAGCUAUACUGAUGCUAGUUCAGGAUGGUUUAGUUGUUCGGGUUGGUUCAACACUCAUUUAUAAAGUCAUUCCCCUUGACCCCCUCCUUGUUCGAUGGUUUAAGAGCCUUCGAAACUCUUUCAUUGGCUUCAUCAUUGGACACUGCUCGCUCCCCUUUCUUCGACCUUGGCCGUAUUGGUAAGCCUCCCCCCACUCUCUCUCUUUCUCACCCUACACUCAGAGGAGAUGGAAGGAUAUAAAAUCUCUAACCAUAGGUUUGGAUUGUUCUCUCAUGAAGAAAUCUCAUUGAGAUCUAUCUUACAUUGAAGCUAGGAUCAGAUUUCUUCAUGAGAGUGGAAGCUUUUCUUUCCCGAGAUCGAUCAAGGUAUGGAGCUUCAUCAACGAUCUAGGGCUUCUAUGACAUUUUUGAUCCCUCUCCUUGUUUUGGCCAAAGAAUGUCUAGGUCUAUCUCCCCCUUCCUUCCUCUCCCUCUCGCGCCUUCUUUCUCUUUCUCUCUCUCUCCUCCUCCUCUCCCUCCCUCCUUGUUUCUCUACACCCUGAAACAAUAUGAUAAGGAUCCUUACUAUACCAAACCGGUCGUCGGCCGAUACGAUCCUUGGUGCUGGUUCGGCAAACCUUGGUAAGAACCUUCAAAAGUCAUAUGACUUUUAAGUUUUAAAUGGCCUGCCAUGUAUUUUGCAGUGGUGAAUAUUUGAAAUCAAGGAUGGUUGAACCAGUCGGUCCGGGGCAUAUCGAACUAGACUGGUCGAGGACUUGUCCGUGUGGUUCAGGGCCCCCCACUCCCCAAGCUCACGAUGUUUGGUGCCCCCUUCACUCAUGAUGUUCAAGUAUCGCCCCUCCGUUCCUAUCACAAACACCCCCUCCCCCCAGCGAAAACCACUCGCACUGGUUCAAGAGGAAGGUUUUUGGUAAGUCCUCCCUCCCUCCACCCCUCCUUGAUGCAACAGGAAAGGAAGAAGUGGCUAUUCGAUCGACGAGAUUACACUUUGAAGAUCAACAUGCAGAUGGAAGUAAACUAGACUGAAUAACCCUUCACUUGGUGAAAGAAUUUCUCUCAAAAAGUAUUUUAUAAAAACCUUAUUUGGUAGUCGACUUAUACCUAAUUUCUUAUACUUUUGCAUAUCUUCAUGGCUUUCUAUACUUGCACUGCAUAUUAGUAUGCAUUCAGAGUCUUGAAUUCAUUUUGUCUUAUAUUUAUUCUUGUAGCCUUUUUUCAAUAUUUUGACAAAUUGCAUAUUGUUCUUAAUCUCACCAUAUUUUACCAUAAUUAUUUUUUUCUAACAUUAUAAAUAUCUCUGAUAUUUUCAUUCUCGGCUGUACUUGCAUCUUACUAGUCCAGAUUGUAUAUAUCCUUGGAAGCCUAAAUGCAUCUUACUUUUGUUUCCCUUUUUCCUUUCAAGAUCCAUAUAUAGAAAGGCUUUUCUUAUUAAAACAAAGUUGUGACCAAUGAUUUAUAGGUUAUCGUGUGAGGUGGUUUAGAAGAUUCAUCAUAACAGACUGGUCUCCUAUGAGUCCUAUCUGUUGCAAUUUUGAUGCUUUUACUGUAUUAUUUUUUAGUUGUUCAAAUACUCUUUUGAGUGAGAAGGAAAGAAGAAUAUAAAUGUAAAAAAUCAGAAUAGAAAAGUUAACGAAUAGGUAAAAAGGUGGAGAUCAUAAAAGCAGAAGAAAUGGGGGGAAAAAGGAAGAAAAAUCUAAAUAGUGGGUUUAUUCUUCAUUCUCCUUCUCUGCAUUUUUUUUUUCUUAGCUAAAACUUUUUUAAAAGAACUAUUGGAGGAUAUGCCUAUAAUCACUAUCAGAGGGUCAUGAGAGAAGGAAGAGAAAAAGGAGAAGAGGGAAAGCAUAGGAACGGUAGAUAUAGAAUAACUGGCUGCACGAAGUGUACACACUUGGAUGGCUAUGAUUAAACCUUUAUCUUUUUAUUUUUAUUUUUAUUUUAUUUUUGUUGACCAGCCUGGCAUGGUAGCCAGGUUCUUGUUUGAGUUAUGAACUUAAGUUGAAGUUGUUGUUUACCCAAAAGUACUCCACAAUUAUCAGAAAAUGAUCUGAUCCAAAUUCACCAUCUUGGACAUAUAUCAAUUAAUGACCAAGAUUUUGGAAGCGAUAUUGGUGUCACCAUUAGAUCCACUGAUUUUGGAACAUUGUGCAUGACAAAUUAAUUCUUGUUUUGAGGAACAGUUUUCCUUUUGAUGUGGAAGGCCCUGUCAUCUGGUUGUUGCAGCUUGAUACUUCUGCAACAUUUUAUACAAUUGUCUCAUCAUGCUGCCACAAUUAAAUCUAGUCCUGUUUUGCGCAACUAUAACCUGAUCAGAUAUUAAUAAACAACUAGUUGGGACAGACUUCAUCAGGUAUUGUUCCUAUCUAAUUAAGUUGGUUAGCAGGAUCGAGGCUAAGGUUUAAGUUUGCAGUUUUGAUUUCACUGGAUCUUGACAUCUGUUAUUGGAAGGCUUUGUUCUGUUAUUGACUUCUGUCAGUAAAUAAUUGCUGUUUUGACCAUAUCUAAAAGGCGCUGAAAAAAGAAACCAAUUCUGGAAGCAAUUUGUUGACACAAUAUGUUAUUUAGUUUUGCAAAUUAACUUUUUUUGUUUAAAUAUGUUUAUUUAUGCUCAAUAAUUCCUGGAACUAACACAAAUUUGUCUGUUGCGAUAGGUUUUUGUGAGGAAAUGGCGGAAGACUGCGAGGGAAAUUAUGAUUCUAGUAGCCACUCCCAGGAGAAUUAUCAUGAAGAAUUACACAUUGAGCCUAUUUAUGAGGCCUUUCUCUGCCCGCUUACGAAACAAAUUAUGAGGGAUCCUGUUACCUUAGAGAAUGGACAGACCUUUGAGAGAGAGGCUAUUGAGAAGUGGUUCAAGGAAUGCAGGGAUAGUGGAAGGAAGCCAGUUUGCCCGUUGACACUGAAAGAUCUGAAUAGCACUGACCUGAACCCUAGUAUUGCUCUAAGGAAUACUAUCGAAGAAUGGACCCAAAGAAAUGAAACUGCUCAGCUUGACAAAGCUUGUAGAUCUCUCACUUUAGGAAGCUCAGAAAGUGAUAUUUUACAGGCUCUAAACUUCAUUGCAUAUAUUUGCCAGAAAAGCAGGUCGAGUAAGCAUGUUGUAAGGAAUGCAGAGUUAAUACCUAUGAUUUCUGGCAUGCUGAAAAGCAGCAGCAGGAGAGUGCGGUUGAAAGCAUUAGAAACUCUUCGUAUUGUAGCUGAAGGGGAUAAUGACAAUAAGGUUGUCCUUGGGCUUGCUGGUUUUCUUUUCAGAUGCUCUGCUUCUUUCUCGAGUUGUGUUUCUUGAUGAUAUAUUCACAAUUUCCUUAUUUUGCAGGAAGCUACGGCUGCAGGGGACACCAUUCGUACAAUUGUGAAGUUCUUAUCACAUGAGCAUUCCCAGGAAAGAGAGGAAGCUGUAUCUCUUUUAUAUGAGCUUUCAAAAUCUGAACCUCUGUGUGAAAAGAUUGGUGGGGUCAAUGGAGCAAUUCUUAUACUAGUGGGGAUGGCAAGUAGUAAAUCAGAAAACCUUUCAACUGUUGACAGAGCUGAAAACACACUAGAGAAUCUGGAAAAGUGUGAAAACAAUGUGAGGCAAAUGGCCGAAAAUGGUAGAUUGCAGCCGCUUCUUACCCUACUCCUUGAAGGUAAUUUCUGGUGGCUUGAUCCUUGACAAUUUUGAGCAGGUGAGAUGUUGCUGCACCAAUUUUUCCAAGCUAUUUGCCUCACUCAAUGCCAUGAAAUAUUUUGCAGGUUCACCUGAAACGCAGCUGUCUAUGGCUGCAUAUCUUGGGGAGCUUGUUCUGAGCAAUGAUGUGAAAGUAUUUGUGGCCCAAACUGCAGGUUCAGCCCUGGUUGAUGUCAUGAGAAGUGGAAGCAAGCAAGCAAGAGAAGCUGCUCUCAAAGCAUUGAACCAGAUCUCAUCCUAUGAGACAAGUGCCAAGAUACUAAUCCAAGCAGGCAUUCUCCCCCCUCUCGUGAAGGACCUCUUCACUGUUGGUGUCAACCAGCUUCCCAUGAGGCUGAAGGAAGUGUCUGCAACAGUUCUUGCUAAUGUCGUGUCUUCAGGUGCUGAUUUUGAGUCUAUCCCACUUGGUCAUGACGACCAGACCUUGGUCUCUGAAGACAUUGUGCAUAAUCUACUCCAUCUCAUCAGCAACACAGGUCCUGCAAUUGAGUCUAAGCUCCUUCAGGUCCUUGUUGGACUUACAAGUUCUUCCACAACUGUCCUAAACAUAGUUGCUGCCAUCAAGAGCUCUGGUGCUACCAUCAGUUUGAUUCAAUUUGUAGAAGCUCCACAAAGAGAUCUCCGCAUGGCUUCUAUUAAACUCCUACACAACAUUUCACCUUACAUGGGUCAAGAGCUGGCAGAUGCCCUUCAUGGCACUGCUGGUCAUCUCAGCAGCUUGAUUAAGGUCAUCGCGGAGAAUAAUGGGAUCUCUGAGGAGCAAGCAGCUGCUAUUGGGAUUCUAGCUGACCUUCCUGAGAGGGACUCAGGACUCACUAGGCGGCUUCUGGAUGAGGGGGCCUUCAACAUAACCAUUUCCAAAAUUAUCAGGAUUCGGCAAGGGGAGACUCGUGGAAUUCGUUUCGUCACUCCCUUUCUCGAAGGGCUUGCAAGAGUUCUCUCAAGACUGACAUAUGUUCUGGAGGACAGACCUGAUAUUGUAGCCCUUGCUCGUGAGCAUAAUCUCGCUGCACUUUUUACCGAUCUUCUUCAGAUGAAUGGGCUUGAUGGGGUACAAACAGUCUCUGCUAUGGCACUGGAGAAUCUCUCACAGCAGUCAAAACAUCUAACAAGAAUUCCGGCUGUCCCAGAGCAAGGAUUUUGUUGUUCUAUAUUCCCAUGUCUUGGGAAGCCGCCUGUUUUGACUGGGUUGUGUCGAGUCCACCAUGGAAUCUGUUCGAUGAAAGAGAGCUUUUGUCUGUUAGAAGGGAAGGCAGUGGAGAAGUUGGUUGCCUGUUUGGACCAUACAAAUGAGAAGGUAGUGGAGGCUGCCUUGGCAGCCCUGUGCACUCUGUUGGAAGAUGGAGUGGAUAUCGGGCAAGGUGUGAUGGUUCUAUGUGAUGCAGAUGGGAUUAAACCAAUACUUGAGAUUUUGCGAGAGAACCGAACAGAAAUACUCAGGCAACGAGCUGUUUGGGCUGUUGAGAGGAUUUUGAGGACCGAUGACAUAGCCUAUGAGAUUUCGGGAGAUCAAAAUGUGGGGACGGCAUUGGUCGAAGCUUUCAGGCAUGGGGACUACCGGACGAGGCAGAUUGCUGAACGUGCUCUGAAGCAUGUAGAUAAGUUGCCAAACUUUUCUGGAAUAUUUCCUAAGAUGGGAGGUUGAUGAAUAAACCAAGAUAAAAUCCUUGUUUGUACGGUAAGCUUGUAUAUCGUGUAUCUAUAUUUUUUUUCAUAUUUUGUCUCUUUUCUUGAUUGAAGGAUUUUAGAUUGUUGUCUGUUCACAACAUUUUAAUUGAAUUUUUGAUAUUGGUUGUGGUUUUCUCUCUCUUUUUUUAUUUUAGCAGUGAAUUGGUUGUUGAUGGUGUUAUUCGUCGGCGAAAAUGAUAUCUGGAUGGCAUUGUUUAAAGCCUUCAGGUAUGGUGCUCACCGGAUGAUGCAGAUUACUGAGCCAUGUUUGAUAGAUUGCCGACCUUAAGGGUGAUGGGUGAAAAAGGUUGGAAUCAUUAUUUGUAUCGAGUGCUUGUAGAUCUCUUUUGUCCUCUUUUUAUCUGCUUUGUUUUUCAAUUUGAUCAGAGACUGGUGAUUGUUUAUAUGUUCACGAAAAUCUGGUUGAAAUUUUGCUUGGUGGGGAUUUCUCUCAUUCUUGUGAAAUAUGAAGGUGGUGAUUGGCACUGAUACCAAUCUGCAACUGAAUACAAUCAAUCCAAUCAGAGUUUAUAUGUGGACUUUAAUGUUAAUCACCUUCUCAAGGAUUUUAUCUUGUGUUUUCCAAUCAUGCAUAUCACCUUGGUCAAAUUUAUGAAUGCUCUUGUUAUUCAGUCAUCCAUUCUGAUCAAUUUCUGAUUGUGAGCUUGUUUACUUAAAUUUGACAUUCAUCUCCAAUAUAAAUCAAUAAAAAAAAAAAAUACUAACCAAAAAAACAAUACAUAGUUUAUAAGAAAAUGAGGAGUCUACAAAACUGUGAAGGCGGGCAUCACCUUCACUUAUCUCCUGCAUCCAACUUAUAUAUACUCUCCAAAACUGUGAAGGCGAGCCUAGCCUCGCGCUCCACCUAUCACUUGCGUCUAAUAAGUAUAUCUAAAGUCUACAAAAUUGGGAAGGGAACUUCCCUUAACUGCACAUUGGGAUUAAAUUUAAUCAGUACCUUCCAUGCAUCAGCUGCAUCUAACUAGUCCCCAAAAUUGUGAAGGCGAAAGGCGCCAGUCCUUCGCUGCGCGUUGGCAUUACCUUCAUCACCACCUCCCGAUGCUUUGCUAUUCUCUGAAGCGGCUCCAGUGGAUGGUGGUGGCAUGAAAAGAAACGGCACGAGAAUGCCGGAUCUUUCUGCUCAUAAUUGAAGUCCCCUCAUGCAGUAGAAGAACGCGGCAGGUCAGCAUUGGCCUCCAUCGGCACGAAAGCGCCAUGGCCUUGGCCUGGUCCAUCAUCCAUGGCUGCCUUGGACACCAUUGGCACGUUAGAGCACUCCGCCAUGAAAGCAGGAUUAUUACAAGGAAAACCUUGUUGUUGUUCCCUGCCAUCAUCACCAUGGAGGAAGUCGCCUUGGUUGCACCUGGAAUCCUCCUUGAGAAUUUGGAUCUGCUUCUUGACAGCCUCCUUAGCAGACUCCAGCGAACUAAUCAUCUCUCUCAGAGACUCCUCUGGUAUGUCGUCGAGCGGAGGAGGAUCCCAGGCUUGGCCGCACAUGGUUUUGCGGACCUGGGCUGCGAAGUAGCCCGGAAUGUCGAAGUGAAGCUUGCUCCGCUUCUCGGCGCCGACGCUUCGAUGCCUUCCGACGAUGUCGCGGACGGCUCCUUCGUCCUCCGGCCAUGUGUCGGGCUUGCCGUUGGGAGCGAAGCAUAUGACGGCGAUGGGGGUGCCGCACAGCGUGGACAGCUCGUAGGCCGCCUUCUUGAGGGUUUCUUUCCUCUUCCGGUAGGUGGCCAAACGCUGUCUCCGGUUUUCUAUGAAUUCAAGCUUCAAUUUUUGACGAGCCAUUGGUUUGCCCCAAGCUUCUGGUUCUGGCGAGGAGCAACUUGCUUUAUUUAUAGUAGUUGGAAGGGAGUCCCAGUCCCUUGUCGAGAAGGACUCGGGUUGGACUCCUAGGACUCGGAAUCUGGCUGAAUUGGAUCCUAGUAAUGUUCGGUUUAAUAGAGGGACCGUUUUGGGGAAUAGAUUCACGCAUGACAGAGUACAGAGGGAGUAAUAAGCUACCGGGACACGCACCAAAUACGCGGGUUGUUUGAAUCUUGAGUUGCCAUCACGGACUCCAAGAUGUUUAUUAGUUAAUUUUUUUUCUUUGCUUGUCCAUGUCUAAUUAAGUCAAGCCUUUGGCUGAAAUAACACAAGUUCCAUUCCUUGUAGGUGCAAUUGGUUUGGUUUUAUUAGCGAGGUGAUUGGUAACGCGAGCCAAUUAUGGAGAGAGAGACAGACGUAUAUUUCCCUCUCUCUCCAAUUUGUGAACUACUAGAGGAGGAAUGUGAGAAUUACUAGAUGUAUAUUUUCUUUUCUCUCUAUAAAUCCCACGGUUAUUCGCUAGAUAAAUCUUGAAUAUUUAUAUAAAAUUAAGAAACUUAAAAAAUAUUUUUCAACUAGCCAAUUUGGGUGAGGUCAUUGAUUGUAACAAAUGGUAUCAGAACGGACCCGGCUAGGAGACAACGGGCCUGGACUAGGGGACACUGCAGCACAGAUCCAUUAGAGCUGAUAACGGGCCGAUCGUGGUGCUUGUGAUUAGAUUUGAAUGGAUUUGAACCCAUAGUCUGACGAGAACGUCAGAGUUUAAAUGGGAGGAGUAUGUGAAGACUUAUGCAGUCGUAUGUUUACUCCCACAUAAGUUAUUCGCUAUAUGAAUUCUAGACACUUAUAUAGGAUCAAGAAAUCCAAAUAGUACUUUCUAGCUAAGCCUUUUGGGUGAGAUAUUAGGUUGUUACAAAAUUAUUAUGGUAUCAGAGCAUAAAUGGAUGAAUCAUACUUGUAAUUAAUUGGUACGCUUUUUAUGGGGAUGCUGCUAUCUAAUGGAUAUAGGUCAGGAUGCCUCAACGUCAGAUGAGAAAGACUACUCUUGGUGCUAUAAGUGAGGCACCAAACCAGCAAGAUGGCGGCACACCCCAAUAGGUCAGUAGCACCCCUCAGCAGGAGGAAGUUGUUGAUCCUGCUAGAGAUACUCAAACA